rnacentral:lncRNA from 1 species
UAGCCUUCACCCGGGAGUAUUCCAGAGUAUCGAUUUUCCACAGGGAACGUGAGUGUACUAAUUAAGAUUCAAGAUCGCCCAAGGAUAACUAUAUAAUUAUUUUUUUGGUGGGAAGAGAGGAAGUUUCUUGAGAGUUCUCUAGUUGAUCUAAGAAUCAAGAAUUACUUCAAGAUUAUUUAUAUCGGGACAUCAGAGCACUAACCACAGAAAGAGAUGAGAAGGGGGCUAGGAAGGUCUGACUACGGUCCUACAAACACCGUUCCGAACGAGGUGGAAUACGUCGACCGUUAGGGCUGUCACUACCCUAAGGCUACCACAACAAUCCGCAGGAUUGGGUGCAAUUCCAGGUAAUUGCAAGACUAAACACCACAUCUAAUCUAUUAAUUACUACUCUAAUGUUGCAAAGAUUAGAGCACUUGAUGCAAGCGGGAAUCCAAUAAAUAACUUGAAUAUAAAUAAAAGUAAUUAAAGAACUCAGGAUUAUGAAUUGAAGAACCUGGAGAACGAUGAAGAACGAACCAGUUGCUGCAAAAGUACAAUGUUGAGGAAGAUCCGACAGAUCCGGCUCCUCCUCCGCUCUCCUCUUCUCUCUCCCUAUUUUCUAGAUUACAACUAGAACUAACUAGAACUAGAACUAGAGGAACUAGAACUAGAACUAGAUGAACUAGAACUAGAUCUAGAUGAACUAGAGGUAGAACUAGAAGAACUAGAGGGAUCCUCUCUACUUGGAUGAAGAAUUGAAACCCUAGCUUUGAUUCUGUAGAAGAGGUAUGCCUCCAGGGGCUGGUGGGGGUAUGCUUAUAUAGUUCAGGAAGAGUAGCCCUCAAGAAAUAUAGGAAGAGUAGCUCCCAAGAAAUCUAGGAAGAGUAGCUCCCAAGGAAUUUCCACGUUAUUCUCCACCAUCCGAUCAAACCGACCUUAAUCGUGUGAUUUUCCUUGAUCCUUAGAGUCGGUGGAGCACGAUCCGCGAAGUUGACCCUGAUUGGGCAGCAGAGGAGGGCGGGCGCCCAGGGGGGUAGGGCGGGCGCCCUACCUCCGGGCCCGCUCGGCCUCCCGUUCGUUCCCGUGGCUUCUGGAGUCUUCUAGAUGAUAGAAAAUUGCAUGGCACGUUAAUAUCUCUAUGUAAUCCCGACGUGUGGGCCUUUCUUCCGUAUUUCCUGAUAACCCCCUGCAGAAAUAGACAAACACCAAAACUCGUGGAAUUCUGUCAGAUAAAACCCUAAGUCUGGGUGUUGGUUGCAUUUGGAUCCUUUUCCAUGAUUAGUUGAUGGUUAAAUGUGAGCAUUAAGGACCGUCAACAAGCUCCCCCAAGCUUAACCCUUGCUCGUCCCUGAGCAAAGCUAAAAUCAGUAAGAAAAUAGGGGUUACUUUUAUGCCUCUUACUACAGGGUUUUUAAGUUAUCACUAAGGUCUUAAGUGAUUGAAAAACAGAACGAUCAAGUCAAGCACUAUGUCUCAAGUUCUUUUGUCUUACCUUUGUUCUGGAGUUUUUAUAAGUCUGCAAAAUAAAACUGAGGCAUUUGUCUUCUUCUCAAAAGAUUUGUAAGUAGAGCUUUAAAGUUUUAGCAUACUUACUUUGUAUUUUGCUAUGUCAACGCUCGCAGUAAGGGAGAGGAAUGUCAUACUCCUAGAUCAAGACCUUUGACCUUUUUGAAAAGUUUGUCAUCUCUUACUGGCAUAUUGCUUAUUAGAGGGACCAUGGGCUAUCAUUUUUUUUCUUUUUUUUUCAGUCUCUCUUUUUUUUCAAGUGGGCAGCAAGUACCCCUAAUUCUACUGUCGGACACAUGUCUAUUUUUUCCACUCAGGUGGGUAUCUUUGUACCCCUAAUUCUACUUCGGACACUUGUCCAUUUUUACCUCUCGUCUCACUCUCUUUUUUUUUCGAAUCAAAUUUUUGCAUAGUCCCAUGCCUCUAACGCGAUGAUACUUCGGAAGAGUGAAUCUUUUAUAUUUUUAAAACAAAAAGAUCUUGAUCUUGGGAGCAUGAUAAUUCUCUCAACCAAAACUACAAGAAUUAACAAUGGCUUGAACAAAGCAAGUGCCCACAGUUUUAAUAUUUAUAUCUCAUAAGACUCUAGGUACAAUGAUCUCAUAUAUUUUUUUAUGAAUUUUUAGAUUUUCAAAUGAUAAAAUCUCCAGAACUCUAGCAAAACUUGGAACAAGUUAAAUAGUAGCUCAGACCUGCUCAUAUCAUGUUUGUCAAUUACCUAGACUUGGAUCAAACUUUUUAUUUUUAUUUUUAUUUAAAACUUAGGAUUACACAAAACUAUUGUAUAUUACUCAAAAGAAAAACUUUGUUUGGUUUCAUGGUUAUGCAUUUUUAUUUAUUUAUUUAUUUCCGAAUACUAGAAAAUAAAACAAAAGGAAGAAAAGUAAUACUUAUCUAGAUACACGUGGGGGUGCCUCCCCCAAGCUGGAUGUUGACAUAGUCGUUCACUCUUGUGGCCUGCAUGGUUGGUCUCACUCUUCUUAAGCCUCAAAAUCCAGCACAACCCAAAUAGACAAAAAAACUUGUGGAACAUGUUAAGGGUUAGGUAAUUGUCUAGAGCUUAUGAGAGCUUAAUGUGAGAAUUCUAUGAACUCCAUCACAUCAAGUUCCUCUACCAAGUUGUUUUGUGGCUCGAGAUAGAUUUUCAAGCGUUGACCAUUUACCUUAAAAGUGUUACCUAUGUCGUCUUGGAUGGUAAUGGCUCCAUGAGUUGAAGUGUCAAUAACCUUGUAUGGUCCAUCCCACUUACUUCGUAGCUUACCAUGCCCAAAGAGCUUAACUCUUGAAUUGAAUAGUAGAACCUUAUCUCCAGGCUUAAACUCCUUGUGCUUGAUUCUCUUAUCAUGCCAUCGUUUUGUCCUCUCUUUAUAAAUCCUUGAAUUGUGGUAGGCUUUCUCACUCCAUUCUUCUAGCUCAGAUAGUUGCAUCAGACGAUUCUUGCUAGCAAGGUGGAGAUCCAUGUUCCAUUUCUUGAGUGCCCAAUGAGCCUUAAACUCUACUUCCACAGGCAAGUGACAAGUUUUUCCAUAUACAAGUUGAUAAGGUGACAUGCCUAUGGGUGUUUUGAAUGCAGUUCUAUAUGCCCAAAGUGCAUCAGGAAGUUUGUCCUUCCACCCCUUACCCAUCUCAUCUACGGUCUUUUGUAAAAUAUUUUUGAUUUGUUUGUUAGAUGUUUCGGCUUGACCGCUAGUCUGAGGAUGGUAUGGUGUUGCGACGUUGUGUCGAACUCCAUGAUUGGCUAGGUACUUCCGGAAGAUUUUGUCGAUGAAGUGGGAACCUCCAUCGCUUAUAACUAUCUGGGGUAUACCAAAGCGAGGAAAGAUUAUUUCAUGGAACAUUCUCUUGGCAUGUUUUGAAUCAGCUGAUCGACAAGGUAGGGCUUCUACCCAUUUGGACACGUAGUCCACAGCUACUAAGAUAUACUCGCAAUUCCCAGACAUAGGGAAUGGUCCCAUGAAAUCAAUGCCCCAUACAUCGAAAAGUUCUACUUGAAGGUUAUUUGUGAGAGGCAUUUCAUUUCGUGAAUUGAUAUUCCCAUGUUUUUGACAUCGGUGGCAUCUCCUGACAAAGUCUUUUGUAUCUUCAUACAUCGUUGGCCAGAAAAAGCCACUUUGCCAAAUUUUAGCAUGUGUCCGGAAUGCUCCAUAGUGUCCUCCAUAUGGCGAGGCAUGGCAUCUUUCCAUAAUUUCAGUAGCCUCGGCCAUAGGAACACACCUUCUCAAGAGUCCAUCAGCGCAGACUCGGAAAAGAUAUGGCUCAUCCCAAUGGUGGAAAUGACUAUCGUGAAGCAACUUCCUUUUGUUUGCACCAGGUGGGACAUAGCCUUUUACUAUAAAGUUUUCGAUGUCUGCGUACCAUGGAUCUGCAUGUGUUAUCUUAAGCAGGGUGUCAUCCCUUAGGUAGUCAUUUAUGGGAAGUUCAUCAUGUGUUUCCUUAUAUUGAAGCCUAGACAAGUGGUCGGCUACAGAAUUCUCAACUCCCUUCCUAUCUCGGAUUUCUAUGUCAAAGUCUUGGAGUAGAAGAAUCCAUCGAAUUAGACGAGGCUUAGCAUCUUUCUUAGUGAGGAGGUACUUGAGAGCAGCAUGGUCUGAAUAGAUGAUUAUCUUUGCCCCCACUAAGUAAGAUCUAAACUUGUCUAUAGCAAAGACAACAGCCAAAAGCUCUUUUUCAGUUGUAGUGUAAUUGAGCUGUGGUCCAGACAAGGUUUUGCUAGCGUAGGAUAUGGCAUAAUGCUUUCUAUCCUUGGUUUGUCCUAAAACGGCACCAACCGCAAAAUCGCUAUCAUCGCACAUGAUCUCAAAAGGAAGAUUCCAAUCAGGUGGUUGGAUGAUUGGGGCUGAGAUGAGUGCUUUCUUAAGAGUUUGAAAAGAUUCAUGACACUCAUCACUAAAGAUGAAAGGUGCGUCCUUAGCUAGGAGAUUAGUUAGGGGUCUAGCAAUUUGAGAGAAAUUCUUGAUAAAGCGUCUAUAGAACCCUGCAUGUCCCAAAAAGCUACGGAUUCCUUUCACAUUCGUGGGAGGUGGAAGUUUUUCAAUAACUUCAAUCUUUGCUUUGUCCACCUCUAUACCACAUUCGGACACUUUAUGUCCUAGCACUAUUCCUUCCUGAACCAUAAAAUGGCAUUUCUCCCAGUUCAGGAUUAAGUGUUUUUCUUCACAUCGCUGCAAGACUCUAUCUAAAUUCUCCAAACAAUGAUCGAAGGUUUUGCCAUAGAUGGUAAAAUCAUCCAUGAAAACCUCCAUGAUCUUCUCAAUCAUGUCUGAGAAAAUAGACAUCAUGCACCGUUGGAAAGAAGCUGGAGCAUUGCACAAUCCGAACGACAUUCGUUGGUAUGCAUAAGUUCCAUACGGGCAUGUAAAGGUAGUCUUUUCUUGGUCAUCUGGGUGGAUUGGGAUUUGGUGAUAUCCAGAAUAACCAUCAAGGAAACAAAAGAAAGAGUGGUUUGCAAGCCGUUCUAACAUUUCAUCAAUGAAGGGUAACGGAAAGUGAUCUUUCUUUGUAGCCUUGUUGAGUUUUCGGUAGUCAAUACACAUACGCCACCCAGUGACAAUUCGUUGAGGGAUGAGUUCAUUCUUCUCAUUCCUAACGACCGUCAUUCCUCCUUUCUUUGGCACUACUUGUACAGGGCUAACCCACUCACUAUGUGGCACAUGAUAAAUAAUCCCAACAUGAUAGAGUUUGAGGACCUCUUUCUUAACGACCUCUCGCAUAGCAUUGUUAAGUCUUCGUUGUUGUUCCCUUGAAGGUGUAGAAUUGGGAUCAAUAGGGAUACGAUGAGUGCAGAGAAUGGGAAUCCAAUAAAUAACUUGAAUGUAAAUAAAAGUAAUUAAAGAACUCAGGAUUAUGAAUUGAAGAACCUGGAGAACGAUGAAGAACGAACCAGUUGCUGCAAAAGUACAAUGUUGAGGAAGAUCCGACAGAUCCGGCUCCUCCUCCGCUCUCCUCUUCUCUCUCCCUAUUUUCUAGAUUACAACUAGAACUAACUAGAACUAGAACUAGAGGAACUAGAACUAGAACUAGAUGAACUAGAACUAGAUCUAGAUGAGCUAGAGGUAGAACUAGAAGAACUAGAGGGAUCCUCUCUACUUGGAUGAAGAAUUGAAACCCUAGCUUUGAUUCUGUAGAAGAGGUAUGGCUCCAGGGGCUGGUGGGGGUCUGCUUAUAUAGUCCAGGAAGAGUAGCCCUCAAGAAAUCUAGGAAGAGUAGCUCCCAAGAAAUCUAGGAAGAGUAGCUCCCAAGGAAUUUCCACGUUAUUCUCCACCAUCCGAUCAAACCGACCUUAAUCGUGUGAUUUUCCUUGAUCCUUAGAGUCGGUGGAGCACGAUCCGCGAAGUUGACCCUGAUUGGGCAGCAGAGGAGGGCGGGCGCCCUGCCUCCGGGCCCGCUCGGCCUCCCGUUCGUUCCCGUGGCUUCUGGAGUCUUCUAGAUGAUAGAAAAUUGCAUGGCACGUUGAUAUCUCUAUGCAAUCCCGACGUGUGGGCCUUUCUUCCGUAUUUCCUGAUAACCCCCUGCAGAAAUAGACAAACACCAAAACUCGUGGAAUUUUGUCAGAUAAAACCCUAAGUCUGGGUGUUGGUUGCAUUUGGAUCCUUUUCCAUGAUUAGUUGAUGGUUAAAUGUGAGCAUUAAGGACCGUCAACAGCGACCAUCAUGGGGGUGCCCUUGGAUCUCCUCCACUUCAUUGUCGGAGGCCGCCGGGGCCUCCUCGCCCUCUGCGCUACCUCCAGCCAUGGUAAUGGGUAUCAAAGGACCCUUACCCCGACCAGGGGAGCCCUCUGGCGAAGAAGCCUCUGCUCGGGGUGGAGUUGGGGUCCUCUCUUCAGCAGGCGGGGGAGUCAGGGCUCUGUCUCCCUCCUCCGCGACACUGCUCGGGGGAGGCAUCCUUGCAGCCUCAUCGCCCCUUGUCAGGGUGCUCCCCCCGGUCCUCGCUUGAGCCGGGUCCUGCUCGACAGUCUUCGCCACGGUCACAACCGCGGGCUGCUCCUCGGUCUGCUCCUGGGUGGUCUGCUCGACGGCGUUAUCAACGACAACCUCCGGCUCGGCCGUUCUCUGGCCAGCGACGUUGCCCGGAUCAACAUCCGAUGCCGCACUAGCAAAAGGAGACAUCAUGCCAACGUCAAAAUUCGCAGCAAAUAAAAAAACAAGUAGGAGGAAGUGCAGAAGACAAGUUACAGAACUCACAGGUCGGAGCGUUUGUGCGUCGCCGCGAAGAAUCUCCUCCUUGUCCUACCAGUCGCCGUUGCCGCCUCUGUCCCCCCAAGUCGUGUCGGCUCGGUGCGCGGUUGUUGAUAUUUGGUAACGCAAUAAGGAAAUGAUCCGCAAGCGCACGGAUAUCGGUGAGCAUUUCACCCGGGAGGUUAUCUAGAGUAUAGUAUUUAUAUUUUUACCACUGGGAGAAAGCGUGCAUCUGACUAACCAAAUCUAUUGCUACUAUCCUUUAGGCUACAAAGAAUGUUUCUCGAUGUGAGCGAUGUAUACAGAAGACUGCAACCGUAGUCUCAUUCUAACCUUGGUAAGGAUGAUCUACUGUUCUAUUAGGGAAGCUUACGGAAUCUAGACACCACAAAGGAUGUUCGACCCGCACCUAUAAACCCUAUCCUUCCCGCUAACGAGAUAUGGGCUUCAAAGGUAACUCGGAAAUGUCACGUUCCUCGCUACUACCACGAUCCAGCUAGUCAGGGGAUAUCUAUGAGUACCGUAGCCCAAACACCACAUUUACACUAGCGAUGAUUACUCUAAACUCAACCAAAAUAGAUUAAAGUAAACUCAUAAACCAAAGAACAGUAAAACAAGAACUUACUAGAAUUUAGAAGUCAAAUUACUGAAGAAUCCUAGGAGCAAGCCUUGGGUUAGGAGAACUUGAUCCCACAGGUACAACCUCGGAGUAGACACCGACAGGCCAGGCUUCCUCCGAUCUACACCUCCACUCUAUCUCUCUCAAUCUAGUAGAAACUAGAAGAUCUAAUUCUACUCACAUUGGAUGCUAAGCCUAAAAGAAAUUUUAUUUAGAGGAGAGGUAUUGCUUCGAGGGCACCUCUCAACUCUAUGAUGAACUUGUCUCCUCCAGGGGCCAGGGGGUCUGGUUUUAUAGUCCCCUCAGGUGAACGUGGGCCGUCGGAUCAAACCGACAUUGAUUGAAUGGUUAUCCUUGAUCCUUUAGGUCGGUGGACCUAAUCCCCAAAGAGUGUCCUGAUUGGACUCUGGGACAGGGCGGGCACCCUGCCCCGAGGCCCGAUCGCCUCCCCGUUCGUUCCCAUGGCUUCUGGAGUCUUCUAGAUGACAGAAAAUUGCGCGACACGUUAAUAUCUCUAUGUAAACCCGACAUGUGGGCCUUUCCGCCAUAUUUCCUGAUGACCCCCUGCAGAAAUAGACAAACACCAAAACUCGUGGAAUUCUGUCAGAUAAAACCCUAAGUCUGGGUGUUGGUUGUAUUUGGAUCCUUUUAUUUAUUUAUUUGAUAAUUAUAUUUGGUACUUAAGGACCGUCAACAACUCCCCCAAGCUUACCUCUUGCUCGUCCCUGAGCAAGGACGGACUUAAGAGUUUCUACAGUGGUUUCAUGCCUUAAAAGUAAGAUCUCAUCUCUGAGUUAGAGUAAACUUGCUUAGACUUAAAACUUACUCAUUUUACCUUUCACCAUGGGGCUUGUAACCGUCACUUGUGUCUUGAGUAGUUAAAAGAUAGAACGGUCAAGUCAAGCGCCAUGUCUCUUAUUCUUGAUCAGCUAUAGCUCUGGAGUUUUUGCAGAUUUUCAAAUAAAACUCAAAGAUUCCUUAUAUGAUUCUCUCAAAUCUCUCUUUUGUGUUAUUUCUGGAUCCUUUCCAAGGUAGUAAUGGUAUAUUCCUUCUCUCAAAGUAUGUGGUAUUUUUGGUAUGAGGCAUAGUGAUAUUGCCUUCUCUCUCACCCUACUCUAAUAAGGUUUUGAUAUCUAGAGCUCAUAGGUGGGAGACAGAUAAUACAUACUUACAAGACAUUUAUUGCAUAGUGAAACCAUGGAUCCAGAAGAACAAGUCAAUAAGUCAAAUCAAGAUGUGCAUGUGUGGCGAGUGAAUGGUGUAUGGUGAUGAUGGUGAUAACAAUGGUGAAAGUCUAAUUCUACUUUUGCUCUUUUAAGGGGACACAUACCUUUCUUGCACUUUGAAGCUUUUUGAGGAGAAUGAGAUGCUCUGUAUUUUCUUUUUUCUUUUUCUCUCAGGUGGGUAUCUUUGUACCCCUAAUUCUACUGUCGGACACUUGUCCAUUUUUACUUCUCGUCUCACUUUUUUUUUUCUUCGAGGUUCCGGGCACUUGCCCCUUUUUAUUUCCUCAUAUUUUUCCUUCUCUUCUUCUUUUUUUUAGAGCACUCAUCUCCUAAAAUAAUAUAGCAAGUGGUAGUAACCAAGAUAGCUCAUAAGCAGUAAAAAGUAAUUGUAUGGUUCUUAGUCUAAUAAGCAUGUAUAUGUGGUUGUGGUAGGAUUUUAAACUCUCAUCAUACAGGAACUCAUCAUGUGUUAUUUUAAAGAUUUUCAAAGAUAAAAUCCUCCAGAAUUCUAGCAUCUCUAGGAAUAGAUAAAUAGCAGUUGAACCUUCCCAUAUCAUAUCCGUUAACGACUUAGACUUUUGAUCAGGUACUCUUCCCACAAGUUUAGGUUUAGAGCAAGCUUUGAAUUAUAACAGUUAUGCCUAAACUUGAGAGAGCUCAAACUUAAAAACUAGGUACAUGGCAAAGCAACUAUUUAUCAUUUCCAUGUGAGAGCUUAUCAUGAGGGUUGAUAGCAAGCUUUAUUUAUUUAUUUAUCUAACAAACUAAGCAAACAACGCAAAAUCUUUAUUUGGGUUUUUAUGAUUAUGCAUCUUUUUAUUAUUUGAGUAAUGUAUAAACGUGAGUAGAACACUUAGCUGGAUAAAUGGGGGUGCUCUCCCCCAAGCUGGAUUUUGACGUAAUUUCUUCUGAUAUAGCUAGCAGAUGACGGAGGUGUAUUUGAAUGUUGACGGCACCCUGACAGCGAUUACUACGUCCUCCGUCUGCUAGUCUUCUUUGAUCCUUGAAUUCUGUAGAGCUCAAAUAGACAACAAAGCUUUGUGGAACUGGUUAAGUGUUAGCAUAAAAUCUCUUAGCCUUUAUCAUAUUGAGAUUCCUCCUAAUAAAUAUUACUUGGUAGGAUCAUAAAUUUAUUUUUAUAUAUUCAUUUUUAUAGGACAGGAAUAUAUUUAUUUUAUUUUUAUGCCACGACAGUAAAUGUACUUAUGGGUUUUAUGCCAUGAGCAUACUCACAUGGGGCUUACUGUUUUUAACAUUUUUAUUUUCUUUUCAAGAUGAUAUGAACCUGAUUAACUAAGCAAACUAUUGAAAGGAAAAGGAAAACUACCAAGUUUACCUCUUGGCAAGGCAUUCGGUGUUUUUAAGUCCUCCGAACGGGACACUCCGUUUUCUCAGUCGUCCUGGGGAUUUACUGGAUGGCGUAGUCGGUGGUUCCGGCGGCGCCUCCUCUUCGUGUGUAACUAUCUUCUCUCUCCACACCUGACUCGGUGCUACGGUCUCCUUAGGACAGUUCUGUUCAAGCUGUGUGGCUUUAGACCUUACCACUUCUCCUUCGUAGUCUGCCCAUCCGUCCUUGAUGAUUUGCCUCCUCUGGUUGCGGUUGCGUCGUCUUCUUCUUGUCCUGACCUGCUUAGAGUAUUCAACUAUAUAGUUAAGGUCAGUAAAAUAGCGGUGUACCUUUUCAGAGGGGAAAUGUAUGUGGACUUCUCCGGUUCCAAUAUAGAUGAUGGCUUUGAUAGUGUUGAGGAACGAUCUUCCAAGGAUGGUGGGUAGAUCGUACUCGUCUUCUCCCAUGUCAAUGACCUGAAAAUCAUCUGGAGCUGAAUGUUUGUUGGUUGUAGCGGCAUGGUUCCAUGCAGGAGCUGAUAAGUGACUGCGGCCAUUAUGUUGACGUCAGAUCCGGUGUCGUAGAGUGUCUUCUGAAAAGAGUAUCCGUUGAUUGUGCACUCGAUGCUUGGAACACCAGGGUCGUCCUUCGUGUUCAUCCUUUAGGUGCAUCAUUUGAUUAAGUGUUGACCUUGAUAUCUGCACCUCUUGAUACAGUGUCACCCAUGUUCUUCGUUUGCCUAGCAGUUCGAGGUGCGGCAUUGGCAGCAUCCUACUCAGUGUGUUUGUGCUCGUAGAUCUAGGUCCUUCACUUGGUGGAGUCUGGGAGUUGUAAAACUCCUCCAUGUUUUGCUUGAAGUGUACCUGUUCAUAGAGACAAGGCAGGGAUCAAGUGCAUGGGCCCUGUUGGUGGGAAACACCAACAGAACCAAAAGUGUAUUUGUUCUUCUCUAACCUUAAGCAUAGUGAGCAAGAAAAAGUUGAUGGAUCAUGAGUCUAGCAUUUGAAACAUUUGUCAGAUCAGAUGGCUCAACCUAAUGGAAAGAUAAUCUAUCUAUAUUUAUGUUUUGUUUAUAUCUUCCAAAGAUUGAAUGUGCAACAUAUUAGCUUAUAUGAUUAGGAGUGUGGGAUCACGAAGGUAGUACUAAGAACAAAGAUUAAAGGACUAAUCAUGUUGAUUUAACUGAGUUUGUUAAUUUGGAGCUACAAAUCAUACAUGUUUGUAUCUUUUAUUCAUGUGUAUGCCAGAACCGAGGAGAAGCUUAUAAAAGUGAUAGUCAAGUACCUUAAGGUGUUACCUUACUUGAAGAGUGAUGGUAUAGUAUCACCUUUCUUAGCGGUUAUGCAUCGUGUUUGUGGCACCCUCCAUGGAUCAUCUCUUUAUGAUGAAUGAGCUAUGUCUUCCGUGUGCAAAUCAUUAAACUUCAUGUGUCUUCUUUGUCUCCGAUGUGAGUUUAUCUGAAGACUUCCCAGGUUGAUAUUUAAAGUUUCCCUGCAGGGGUUAGUCCAACAAAAUAUCCCAUAUCUACUAUAGCAUACUAUUGGCUCAAAAAUCAACCUAGACACCAUGUCUAAUUUGAUUUAGGAGGGCAUUUUAACCUAAGCACCAUGCUUAAUUUAAAAAACCUUUUGAAGUAAUAUCAUCAUUCAUAAACUAAGCACCAUGCUUAAUUAAGAGAUAAAUGAAACUACUCCAAACCUAGACAUAUACUAAAGCAAAUAAAGGUAGCAUGAAAGCAUUUAUAGAGAUCUACUCAGGUGGAGGUGAAGUAGUGUAAUUAGUAUUUAACAAACUGAGCAUGUCUCAAAGGUAAGGACAACCAACAUAGCAACAUGGCAAAGGAUGUUUUUAUGUAAAGUACUCCCCUAAGAUUGAAUUUUGCAAAACUCAAGUUUGGAUGAAUUUAAUUCAAUGUUGUGUGAUGGUUGGUUGGACAUACCUUGUGCUUGUCAUUCAUCCGAUCUUCUUGCUUCAAUCCUGGAAAGGUUAGUGGCAAGAAUACCCGAAGGAAUAUUUCUACAAUUAUCUUUAUAUGCUCAAUACAUAAGGCAAUGUUGCAAAUAAUUAGAAGUUCAUGUUAUGAUCUGAUAAGUGCUUGUUUUAGGACACUAAGCUUGUCCUUGGGAAACCAUCAAUCAACUCAACAAGAUCUGCAAUAUUUAUUAUAGAGAUAUGCAUCGACAACCGCUCUUUUAAAGUUUUUAUAAAUAGAAAGGAAGAGGGGGUUGGAGAUCUUAAAUGUGGUGAUGUUGGAGAGACCAAUUGAUUGGGGAGAUGUUUUAUAUGAGCAAGGACUUUGUGAGGUAUUUAUGAAAUAACUUCCAUGCUCACUGUUGUUUCUCUCAUUCUCAAACUCCAAGGAUGAUUCUUUAUGAAUGCUUAAAGUUCCUCUAGGAUUGUCUCUCAAGUUUGUUUUAUCCAUCCAUUCAAUGGUGAUAGCACAUGGAUUUUUAAUGCCCUCUAGCCAUCGAUGUUGCUCUUCUCGAUCCUCGUUGUGGUCUUGGUGACUCUUAUGCAUGGGAUGUCUAGAUAGAUUCAUAGGAUCAUCAGGAGGUUCAAGAGAAAGAGCAUAGUAGAAAUUAUUAAGCUCAAGGAUGGGAUGGAUAGCCGAAUCAUGGAAUUGAAAUGUUUGGAAAUCGGCUAUUGAAACUUCCUUUCCUUAUAUGGGAGAUGAUUCCUUCUCUAUCUCUAGGAAUUUCUUAUGAAGACUAGUGCAAGAAGGAUGUCCACAAAUGAAGACAUACCUUCCUUUACUAAUAGAUAAAGAAAGAAAGACUCUACCAAAGGUUAUAUGAUUAAGACCAAUGUGAAAAUAUCGAGAAAAAACAUGGUCUUGUAUGGCUAGGUUUAAACCAUAAAUUAUAGAAAAAUUAAAAGAUUUCCCUGGUGUAGCUAAAAGUUCAUUAUUUUCUUGAUUAAAAGAUAGGACCUCAGCUAUAGAAAAGGGUUGGUUUUGACCGAUUGCAAUUAACUUCGGACACAGAUCAUAAUUAGGGGCAGGACUUGUUGAAUCCCAUGGUCUAUGGCUGGUCUCCGAAGGUGCAAAAAAUUCAAUAAUAGGGGUAGAACUUGAGUUAUACACAAAGAUGGAAAAAAUAAAAAGAUAAGAGAAUAAAAGUAUAAUACAAGAUAAUAGCAAGACUUAAAGUUAUCUCAACAAACCGUCUUUCUCCCCGGCAACGGCGCCAGAAAUGCUUGUUGAUAUUUGGUAACGCAAUAAGGAAAUGAUCCGCAAGCGCACGGAUAUCGGUGAGCAUUUCACUCGGGAGGUUGUCCAGAGUAUCGUAUUUAUAUUUUUACCACUAGGAGAAAGUGUGCAUCUGACUAACCAAAUCUAUUGCUACUAUCCUUUAGGCUACAAAGAAUGUUUCUUGAUGUGAGCGAUGUAUAGAGAAGAUUACAACCGUAGUCUCGUUCUAACCUUGGUAAGGAUGAUCUACUAUUCUAUUGGGGAAGCUUACGGAAUCUAGACACCACAAAGGAUGUUCGACCCGCACCUAUAAACCCUAUCCUUCCUGCUAACGAGAUAUGGGCUUCAAAGGUAACUCGGAAAUGUCACGUUCCUCGCUACUACCACGGUCCAGCUAGUCAGGGGAUAUCUAUGAGUACCCUAGCCGAAACACCACGUUUACGCUAGCAAUGAUUACUCUAAACUCAACCGGAAGAGACUAAAGUAAACUCAUAAACCAAAGAACAAUAAAACAAGAACUUACUAGAAUUUAGAAGUCGAAUUAAUGAAGAAUCCUAGGAGCAAGCCUCGGGUUAUGAGAACUUGAUCCCGCAGGUACAACCUCGGAGUAGACACCGACAGGCCGGGCUUCAUCCGAUCUACACCUCCACUCUAUCUCUCUCAAUCUAGUAGAAACUAGAGGAUCUAAUUCUACUCACAUUGGAUGCUAAGCCUAAAAGAAAUUUAAUUUAGAGGAGAGGUAUUCCUUCGAGGGCACCUCUCAACUCUGAUGACCCCCUCAGGUGAACGUGGGCCGUCGGAUCAAACCGACAUUGAUUGAACGGUUAUCCUUGAUCCUUUAGGUUGGUGGAGCGUCCUGGGGGGGGCGGGCGCCCUAGGGGGGAGGGCGGGCACCCUGCCCCCGGGCCCGAUCGCCUUCCCGUUCGUUCCCGUGGCUUCUGGAGUCUUCUAGAUGACAGAAUAUUCUGCGGCACGUUAAUAUCUCUAUGUAAACCCGACAUGUGGGCCUUUCCUCCAUAUUUCCUGAUGACCCCCUACAGAAAUAGACAAACACCAAAACUCGUGGAAUUCUGUCAGAUAAAACCCUAAGUCUGGGUGUUGGUUGUAUUUGGAUCCUUUUAUUUAUUUAUUUGAUGAUUAUAUUUGGUACUUAAGGACCGUCAACAGCGGGGCAGGAGGUUCACUGGUCACCCGACCAGUGUCGAUCGGCGCGACGUCAGGCCGACUGCACGCUCUUCGGACCAAGGACUGAGCAGCUUCGUCCUCCUCUUCCUCGUCGUCGGCGAUCCUCAUGAGCCGACGACGCUUCGGGGCCUGGCUGGUCUCCGCCAGCAACGCCUCUGUGGGGGAUGGCUCCACAGCUAUUGGCCUUUUCCAUGCUGCCCGGUCCUCAGUGGUCGGUGCUGGUCGGCUCUGAUCUUCUUCGCUGCUGGUGUAUUGGGGACACCGAGCAGCUUCAUCCACCGGUGGAUCCACUCGAGCUGGGUGGUCCAUACCGGGUGCUAGUGAUACAUACACCAACCACCGGUCGAUAUCUCCUAUCUGCAAUACAACAAUGACAAGUUAUCAGUCAAAAGGUUGCAGUAUUCCCAUAGCAAUGUGAAUAAACAAAGGUACUUGUUUACCUUAGGAGCUGGUCGACCUAGUUUGAAGGCGUGCAUCCGGUCAUCACUUCGAACAAAGUUAUCAUCAGACAAAUUGAAUAACUCAUUCAUCAGUUGCUGGACCUCUGUCUUCUCCAGACCAUCCGGGCACAUCCUGGUCGGGUCUUGGCUCCCCGCGUACUCAUACGCCGAGUGUACCCUCUUCUGGCAAGGCAUCAACCGACGCACAAGGAAGUUCGCGACCACUCUUGGCCCGUCUAAGCGAGACCAGUCGAUCAGGCUCAUUAGCUCUGCCACUUGGCCAGUGUAUUCUGGACGGUCUGUCCAGCUGACCCUCUUCUCAGGAUGUUGCCCACGUCGUAGAACGUGGCGCUGCCCGGCUCUUCCCUGAUGUAGAACCACUUCUUGUACCAUUCGGUGAGAGAAGUGUUCCAUGGGCAGCUGAGGUACCAGUUCUUCAUCCCGUCGUGCAGAUUGAGGUAUACUCCACCUGCAAUCUUGGAGCCUCCAACUGCUCCUUUCUUUCUCAAACAGAAAAGAUAGCGAAAGAGAUCGAAGUGCGGCUCUAUUCCAACAUAGGCCUCGCACAGAUGGAUGAAUGUGGAGAUAAGAAGAGUAGAGUUUGGGUGUAGAUUGCAAAUCCCGAUCUCAUAGUAGAGAAGAAGACCCUGGAGAAAAGGAUGGAUGGGAAUCCCAAAACCCCUUUUAAAGAAAUCUUCGAAGACUGUGCAGGAGUCCCUUUUCAACGAGGUCAUUGAGGGACAUUGUGUUGCUCUGGGAUUUCUUCCAUUCCUUGGCCAUCAUCUCGGCCCUCUUCUUGGCAUCGCUCUUCGCCAUUUCAACUCUUGGAAAGUCUCGAGCUCAGUUUUGAGGCUUGAAGGUGCUGAGAAAGAUGGAGGCUGGGCAAUAGUAUGCGACUGCCGAGUAAAAAACAAGGAUAUGACCUUGGGCUUUUAUAACAACAGCCUCACCUCUACCACUUCCCGCAUUCUGGGGAAGUGGGCGGAUCCUGCGGCGGCCGCGGCGUUUCGGUUCUCAAUAAUUAUCGCAGUUAAUAUGGUGGCUUUUCUGCAUAAUCGAUGGUUUCCUUUUCUUGGACCGCGCAAAGAGCGGCUGCACAGUUACCAGGCUCAUCUUUUUACCUAAACAGCCUGACAAUGUGCGAGGAUGUUCUGUCACAUCACGCAUUAAUGUGGUGAUAUGCUUUUUUCAAAGAGGAGUGGGGCUGUUACAGGAACGAAUAUGACAUACUUGUUGACUGCACCGACCACCAAGCAUGACAUGUGUGGGGACUGGUCGACCAGUCUAUUCCUUCGACAUUUCGAUUGACUGUACCGACCACCGAGCACGACAUGCUCGGAGACUGGUUGACCAGUCUGCUAAUUUGAUAUCCCGAUUGAUUGUACCGACCACCAAGCGUGAUACACUCGUGGACUGGCCGAUUAGCGCAGUCGUUUGAAAAUCUGGGGAUGGUACCGAGCACGUUUACGUUCCCAACCAUGCUUGAGGACUGGUCGAUCAGUCUCUAUGCUGUGCUCGGGGACUGUGCUGACUACCGAUCGUGCUCGGAGACUCAUCAAUCACUCCCUGUGCUGUGCUCGGGACUUGCUUCGAUCACUCUUCGACCACAGCUUGGGGACUGCUUUUCUCAAUUACAUAUGAGUUCGACGGGAUAAUUUUAAUUUUUUAGACCUUGCUACAAGGUUCAAGCUUCGCCUUCCAGCAAGCUCGGGGACUACAUCGAUACGAUGCAUCUAGCGAUGCAUGUUAGGUGCCAGAAAUUUUAAGAUGGUCUUUCUCUCUUUAGACCCUGGCACCACGUGCCUACGUCACCUACUACCAGGCUUGGAGACUAAGUGGGCACACUUCACCUUGCGGUGAAUGUGCUUGCUUUUUGAAAGUCUAUACUUUUCAGAAAAGUAAAGUGGGCACACUUCAUCAGGAAAAAAAUAUUUUUUGAUUAAGAGCACCAUGCAUUCUUCGAACAACCUGCUUCUUCGAUGUCAAUGUUGAUCAACUGUCUUUUGAGUUGGUUAAAAUACCGUUGCAACUGUUUGGGCGACUUUCCUGCUUAUCGAAGACGUAAAGCUUCACUGGUCGAAGAAGCUCAAGACAGCGUGUUGCAUCACAAUACAUGGUGCUUGGGGACUAGCUGUGGGGGUAUAAACCCCUAUACCCUUACAGCUAGACUUGGGCCAGGAGGCUUGGCCCAUCACGAAGACAGUCCGAGGCUUGAUCCAACUGUUCGGAGUUUCGUGCAAGGAAACAAGACGUGGAGAUCAAGCCGAAUUCUAGUUGGUUAGAAUAGGAAUUGAUAUUGUACUAUCUAUGGCAAUUGUAACCGACUAGGAUUAGUUUCCAGAUCUGUAACCCUGCCCUCUGGACUAUAUAAAGAGAGGCAAGGGACCCCCCUUGGACAUCUCAUCUCAACUCAACACAGUCCGCAGCAAUACAAUGACGCAGGACGUAGGUAUUACGCCCACACGGCGGCCGAACCUGGAUAAAAACCUUGUCCGUGUCUUGCGUCACCAUCGAGUUCGUAGCUUGCGCACCGUCUACCGAUAAACUACUACCGUGGGUAUACCCCAAGGUAGACUGCCAACCAACUUUCGUCGACACAGUGUCGUAUCUCAGCCCCUGAUGUUGAUGGUUGGAGGGAGAUUAUGCCGCGCAGUGUGAAUCUGCAGGCAUGCCCGACUAGUUCAAGGCCUCAGGCUUGUCCAGUUCUGCUAGAGCUUGUUGGGCGCUGCUUUAACUGCCUUGGUAUCGACCAUGUUGCUGCAGCUUGCCGCAAUCGGUGCAGGUGCCUCCGGUGGGGACGAGGGUCACCUUGCACGUUGAUGCUGGCGUAAACGGGGAGCAUCACAUGGAUGACCUCUUCGCUGGUCCUCUGUUGGCCCCCGAUGCACCUCCUCCUCAGGCGUUGCAGCGGAUGUUGCGAUGGCACCAUGUUGGACGCCUCUAUUUGUGGUCAUUCCGAGAGACGUUGUUGGGGGCAACAGAAGCAAGAGCCGGCCCAGUGUAGGAGCCCGGUCAUCACUGCCAUCACGUCUUCUGCCUACCCUGAGCUCGACCCUUUGACGUUGUUACUAUGCCUAGUUAGAGAGCACGUUGGUCAGGACGUGGUGGAUGAUCCGAUACUGGUGGAGCUUGUUGCCUUACUCUUUGUUUUUCAAACAGCUAGAGCACCACUUCUUGGGCUGGCUGCCCCUAUGGAAAGUGAGCCCCUUGAAUUGCCAUCUAAGCCGGUGUGCCUGGAUGCUAGGCAUGCCAGUCGUGACGUGGUUGAGGAUCCGAUGGUGGUGGAGGUCGUUGCUUCGCUCCCUAUCAUCCAACCUGCUAAAGCACCGAUAAUAGGGCCACCAUCCCCCAUGCUUGCUGCUCCCGCUGUGCAUGAUGCCCUAGCAUCUCUGACUGUGGAUAGCUGUGCAUCACCACACAUGCAUGGGCAUGCAUUGGAUUCCUCUUGGGAUAAUGCCAUGGUGUCCUUCAUCAAUGCCUUCAAACUACCACUCAAACAGCCGCUUAUUAUGUCACCACCUAGGUUGCGCGUCGCCAAGGACCUGAGCUGUUGAUGAUGACGAUUUCAUCCCCAAGCGUAGCGCCCGUUUAGCUGCUAAGAGCAUGUUCCGAGCAUCGAAGCCGGAUGAUGAGGACAUCGCCACACUGGACAUGUUGGCACCAUCGUCUUUCUCAAGUUGCAAUUCAUCUCCAACUCACGUCACUCUCGAAUUCAGCAAACUACAUCGUCAGUGUUUCGAUCAUAACUUAUUCAUACGACAUCGAAAUAGGGUGAUCUUAGACUCAUUGGAAAGGGGACGACGAUGCUGUCAUUUUGGAUAUGAUCCCAGCUCCAGAUCAUCCGUAGAUUAAUCUGUGUGACCACGACAAGGUGCUACGUCACCUAUUUUGGGCCAACUUGGUGAAAGGUCCUAGUAUGGCUAGAGGGGGGUGAAUAGCCUAUUUAAAAAUUCUACAAACUCACUAGAGCAAGUGGUUAGUAAAUAAUAAAGCAAAGCUUUUUGCUCUAUCUCUAAUGGAGAGUUUGCAAGCCACCUAACCAAUAAUUCUAGUUGCUUAUAAUCACUAUGCACACAAGAACUAUGUCUCUACUUACACUAGAGAGAUAUCUAAAGUUUCUAUACAAGAAGUAAGCUACUCUAGUUUGCAAGAAAGUAAGAGAGAGUGUUUGGUCUUUAUACUGCUGCAUGGAGGGGAUGAACCAAUCACAAUAAUAUGAAGUCCGAUGACCGGGAGAAAUCCAAUGAACAAUCAUAAUGGAGACACACAAUUUUCUCCCGAGGUUCACGUGUUUGCCGGCACGCUACGUCCCCGUUGUGUCGACUAACACUUGGUGGUUCGGUGGCUAAGAGGUGUAGCACGAACCUCAUCCUCACUAGGACACCGCAAUAACCUACCCACAAGUUAGGCAUCUCAAUGACACGAGCACUUUACUAGAGUUACCUUUCGGCUCUCCGCCAGGGAAGGUACAAGACCCCUCACAAUCACCGGGAGAUGGCCACGAACAAUCACCAACUCGUGCCAUUGCUCCUCCACUGCUCCAAGACGUCUAGGUGGUAGUAACCACCAAUAGUAACAAGAACACCGCAGCCAAAUCGAUCCCCAAGUGCCACUAGAUGCAAUCACUCAAGCAAAUACACUUGGAAUCACUCCCAAUCUCACAAAGUUGAAUAAUCUAUGAAGGAGAUGAGUGGGAGCUGUUUGCUUAGGCUCAUAAGGAUGUCAAGUAUGCUAGAAUGCCAAGAGAGUGAGACCCAAGCUGGCCAACACGUAUUUAUAUGCCCCUCAAACAAAUAGAGCCGUUGGCUCCUUCACUGUGCAAAACACGGGGCCACCAGACGCACAACCAGUGACCACCGGACGCUCAACCUAUGCGUCCGGUGCUUGAAUAGAGUCAUGUGUCCAUGCUUGAACUACGCGCAUCGAUCUCUAACGGUCAAAUAUGAACCACCGGACGCGCUCAAGGUGCACACCGGCCACAUGCGCAGAGAGGUCUGGAGACGCGUGGGGUCACCGGACCCACACCACCGGACGUACUCCAGAGCGUCCGGUCCCUUACCCAGAGAGCUCUAAAAAGGCGUAGGGGCACCGGACGUGCACCACCAGACGCACCCUGAGCGUUCGGUGCCUCAUUCAAAGGCACUUGAAGAAAUCAGGCAACACCGGACACGCCAAUAGGAUUUAGCCCGUGUCCGGUGCCUAGCGUUCGGUGCCUAACCCUAACUGAGCCAGGCACUUGACAGCACACCGAACGCGUAGGCUCAUUGUCCGAUGCCUCUGCAGUCAGCGUCCGGUGAGUGUUUCUCAGCGAGAAACAUUCCCACGACUUCUCCAAACUCUCCACCAGCGCAGUAGAAAAUAUGCAUUACACCACAAUGUGCCAACACCACAUUGUGUAAACCAACAUGUGCACGUGUGUUAGCAUUUUCACAAUCAUUUUCUUCGAAGGUGUUAACUUAGCUCACUAGGUUCUAAAUGCAUGCAUAUGAACAAUGACACCUAGUGGCACUUGAUAACCGCUUAGCCAAAGAAUUCCUCUCUUUAUUGUACGGCUAUCUAUCCUAAAUGUGAUCAUACCCUCUAUGGUGUCUUGAUCACCAAAACCAAAACCCUAAACAAUACCUUUGCCUUGAUCUCCAUAGGGUUUUAUUUUUCUCUUUCUUCUUUUCCAAGUUGAGCACUUGAUCAUCUUGUGGUUAUCACCACCAUCAGCAUGAUUAUCACUUGCUCCAUCACUUGGAAUGUACCAACCUCAUUAAGUCUACACACACUUAGUAUAGAGGUUAGUACUAGGGUUUCAUCAAUUAUCCAAAACAAAACUAGGGCUUUCAAUCUCCCCCUUUUUGGUAAUUGAUGACAACCCUUUUUACAUUCAAUAAAUUUUUCUUGGAUUCAUGUUGCUUGCCCAAGCAUUUUACCAUGUGCAAAGGUUAUGGACAAGUUUCAUAAACCCAGUUUGUUAGCAAUUGCUCCCCCUACAUAUGUGCUAAGAGUUUGGAUUUCAAAGCUUGCACAUAUGCUUGAACAGGAAAUGUAGGAGUCAAUUUCUACCAAAUGAUGCUAAGGUGUAAAGAAUGGACCUUUGAAGCGUGAUACCAAUCGGAGUUGCCAGUAUACACCAUCCUUAGCACCAUUAGUAACUAGACAUUCACAAAACUAGAACACCCCAUGAGAUCAAAAUUAUAAAUAAUGUUCUAGUAGCACUUGUGAAACAAAUAAUAGUCUAGUUACAAUACCUAUGCAUGCUAGUUCUUCAUUUCAUCAAUCAAACCUACAACUAGCAUACAGCACAAAAGCAAGGCAUCAGAGAGAAAACUUCUAAAGCUAAUGCACAUGCAGGCAAACAUAUGUGAUGCACAUUCAAAUGCAACAUACAAGUUUAUGAGCUUGCUCCCCCUACUUGUGUGCUUCAAAAUUUUAAUUGAUCCCCUUCUUUUAACAUGUUACCCCCUAUCUUUAUACUUCUCCCCUUUUAGCAAAUCUUUGGGAAAAUCUCUCCCCCUUUGUCAUCAAGGACCACAAAACGUGAGCUCAAAUUUUAGAUAGGUAAUUGUGAAACCAUGUGAAGUGAGAUUAUUUUACCAAAUUGGUCCAAUCUAGAUUACUUGCCUAAGAUAAUUAACUCGGUUUGAUCCAAGGACAAGCUUCUUCACACCUCCAAAUAAGGGUUAUCUUGUACCAUAUUGAGUUAAACACUUAAAGCUCAUACUCUAGAUCAAACAUUGGGAUUGCAAGCCCACAAACAUGUCAUAUGCUACCACUAGAUCAAGUCAAGCAUAGAAGCAAUAGUGGUACCUGUUGAUAUUUGUUAACACCAUCAGGAAAUGAUCCGCAAGCGCACGGAUAUCGGUGAGCACUUCACCCGGGAGGUUAUCCAGAGUAUCGUAUUUAUAUUUUUACCACUGGGAGAAAGCGUGCAUCUGACUAACCAAAUCUAUUGCUACUACCCUUUAGGCUACAAAGAAUGUGACUCGAUGUGAGCAAUAUAUAGAGAAGACUACAACCAUAAUCUCGUUCUAACCUUGGUAAGGAUGAUCUACUGUUCUAUUAGGGAGCCUCACGGAAUCUAGACACCACAGAGGAUGUUCGACCCGCACCUAUAAACCCUAUCGAUCCAGCUAACGGGAUAUGGGCUACAAAGGUAACUCGGAAAUGUCACGUUUGUCGCUACUACCACGGUCCAGCUAGUCAGAAGAUAUCCGAGUAUCCUAGCCCAAACACCACGUUUACGCUAGAGAUGAUUACUCUAACCUCUAUGCGAAGAGAUCAAAGUAAACUCAUAAACCAAGGAACAAUAAAACAAGAACUUACUAGAAUUUAGAAGUUGAAAUACUGAAGAAUGCUAGGAGCAAGCAUCGGGUUAGGAGACUUGAUCCCGCAGGUACAACCUCGGAGUAGACACCGACAGGCCGGGCUUCCUCCGAUCUACUCCUACACUCUAUCUCUCUCAAUCUAGUAGAACUAGUCAACUCUCACAUUGGAUGCUAAGCCCUAAGUCUAUGUAGAGGAAAGGUUAUCCUUCGAGUGCACCUCUCAACUCUAUAAUGAACUUGUUCUCCUCUAGGGGCCAGGGGGUCUGCUUAUAUAGUCCCCUCAGGUGAACGUGGGCCGUCGGACCAAACCAACAUUGAUUGAACGGUUAUCCUUGAUCCUUUAGGUCGGUGGAGCAUAAUCCGUGAUUUUGAACGCGAUUGGGCACAACACCUGGGCGGGCGCCCAAGGUGGGAGGGCGGGCGCCCUGCCCCCGGGCCUGCUCGGCCUCCCGUUCGUUCUCGUGGCUUCUGGAGUCUUCUAGAUGAUAGAAAAUUGCGUGGCACGUGAAUAUCUCUAUGUAAUCCUGACAUGUGGGCCUUUCUUCCAUAUUUCCUGAUAACCAGCUGCAAAAAUAGAUAAACAACAAAAAACGUGAAAUUCUGUCAGAUCAAACCCUAAGUCUGGGUGUUGGUUGCAUUUGGAUCCUUUUCUUUAUUUAUUUGAUGAUUAUAUUUGGUACUUAAGGACCGUCAACAACUCCCCCAAGCUUACCUCUUGCUCGUCCCUGAGCAAGGAUGGACUCAAGAGUUUCUGCUGUGGUUUCAUGCCUUAAAAGUACACAUGCAUUCAAGCAAGAUCUCAUCUCUGAGUUAGAGUAAACUGUUAAGACUUAAAACUUACUCAUUUUACCUUUCACCAUGGGUCUUGCAACCAUCACUUGUGUCUUGAGCAGUUAAAAGAUAGAACGGUCAAGUCAAGCGCCAUGUCUCGUAUUCUUGAUCAGCUAUAGCUCUGGAGUUUUUGCAGAUUUUCAAAUAAAACUCAGAGAUUCCUUCUAUGACUCUCUCAAAUCUCUCUUUUGUAGUAUUUCUGGAUCCUUUCCAAGGCAGAAAUGGUAUAUGCCUUCUCUCAAAGUAUGUGGUAUUUGUGGUAUGAGGCAUAGUGAUAUUGCCUUCUCUCUCACCCUACUCUAAUAAGGUUUUGAUAUCUGGAGCUCAUAGGUGGGAGAUAGAUAAUACAUACUUACAAGACAUUUAUUGCAUAGUCAAACCGUGGAUCCAGAGAAACAAGUCAAUAAGUCAAAUCAAGAUGUGCAUGUGUGGCGAGUGAAUGGUGUAUGGUGAUGAUGGUGAUAACAAUGGUGAAAGUCUAAUUCUACUUUUGCUCUUUUGAGGGAAUACAUACCUUUCUUGCACUUUGAAGCUUUUUUGAGGAGAAUGAGAUGCUCUAUAUUUUCUUUUUCUUUUCUCUCAGGUGGGUAUCUUGUACCCCUAAUUCUACUGUCGGACACUUGUCCAUUUUUACCUCUUGUCUCACUUUUUCUUUUCUUCGAGGUUCCGAGCACUUGCCCGUUUUUAUUUCCUCGUAUUCUUUCUUUCUCUCUCUUUUUUUUCUUUUCUUCUUUUUUUUACUAGAGCACUCAUCUCCUGAAAUAAUAUAGCAAGUGGUAGUAACCAAGAUAACUCGAACAUUUAUUUCAUAGGGAAAAACAGAAAUAGGAGAAUGUUUUUGGCUAUUCUCUCCUGGAUUAGGAGUAGAAUACUUUUGGGUGGCUCUAGAGAUGGAAAUAAGUGGAUAUAUGUGGAUGCGUACUUCCGGAUUAGAAGUAGCAUGUAUGAGUGAACGUGCAAGUGAAUCUUGAUUUUAACCACAUGACAAGCUCCUAAGGGUCUACACAGCUUGACCACACUCAAUGCUCAUAAGCAGUAAAAACUAAAUGUGUGGCUCAAAGUCUAGCAAGCAUGUAUAUAUGGUUGUGGUAGGAAUUUAAACUCUCAUCAUACAGGAACUCAUCAUGUGUUAUUUUAAAGAUUUUCAAAGAUAAAAUUCUCCAGAAUUCUAGCAUCUCUAGGAACAGAUAAACAGCAGCUCAACCUUCCCAUAUCAUAUCCGUUAACAACUUAGACUUUAGAUCAAGUACUCUUCCCACAAGUUCAGGUUUAGAGCAGGUUUAAAUUAUAGCAGUUAUGCCUAAACAUGAGAGAGAUUUCAAUUUUGAGAACUAGUCAUGACAGAGCAACUAUUCAUCAUUUCAAUGUGAGAGCUUAUCAUGAGGGUUCAUAGCACACUUUAUUUAUUUAUUUAUUUAGCAAACUAAGCAAUCAACACAAAAUCUUUAUUUGGGUUUUUAUGAUUAUGUAUCUUUUUAUUAUUUGAGUAAAGUAUAAACGUGAGUAGAACACUUAGCUGGAUGAAUGGGGGUGCUCUCCCCCAAGAUGGAUUUUGACGUAAUUUCUUCGGAUGUAGCUAGCAGGUGAUGGAGGUGUAUUUGAAUGUCGGCAGCACCCUGACAGUGAUUAGGAUGUCCUCCGUCUGCUAGUCUUCUUUGAUCCUUGAAUUCCGUGGAGCUCAAAUAGACAACAAAGCUUUGUGGAACUGGUUAAGUGUUAGCAUAAAAUCUUUUAGCCUUUAACAUAUUGAGAUUCCUCCUAAUAAAUAUUACUUGGUAGGAUCAUAAAUUUAUUUUUAUAUAUUCAUUUUUAUAGGACAGGAAUGUAUUUAUUUUAUUUUUAUGCCACCACAGUGAAUGUACUUAUGGGUUUUAUGCCAUGAGCAUACUCACAUGGGGCUUAAUAUUUUUAACAUUUUUAUUUUCUUUUCAAGAUGAUAUGAACCUGAUUAACUAAGCAAACUAUUUUAAAUAGUUGAAAGGAAAAAGGAUAACUACCAAGUUUACCUCUUGGCAAGGCGUUUGGUGCUUUUAAGUCCUCCGAACGGGAUUCUCCAUUUUUCUCAGUCGUCCUAGGAUUCGCUGGAUGGCGUAGUCGUUGGUUCGGGCGGCGCCUCCUCUUCGUGUAUAACUAUCUUCUCUCUCCACACCUGACUCGGUGCUACGGUCUCCUCAGGACAGUUCUGUUCAAGCUGUAUGUCUUCAGACCUUACCACUUCUCCUUCGUAGUUUGCCCAUCCGUCCUUGAUGAUUUGCCUCCUCUUCUUAGAGGGGAAGUGCAUGUGGACUUCUCCGGUUCCAAUGUAGAUGAUUGCUCUAACGGUGUUGAGGAACGGUCUUCCAAGGAUGACGGGUGGAUUGUACUCAUCUUCUCCCAUGUUAAUGACCUGAAAAUCAUCUGGAGCUGAAUGUAUGUUGGUUGUAGGGGCAUGGUUCCAUGUAGGAGCUGAUAAGUGACUGUGGCCAUUAUGUUGGUGUCGUAGAGUGUCUUCUGAAAAGAGUAUCCCACUCGACGCUUGGAACACUAGGGUCAUCCUUCGUGUUCAUCCUUUAGGUGCAUCAUUUGAUUAGGUCUGGGCCUUGACAUCUACACUUCUUGAUACGGUGUCACCCAUGUUCUUCGUUUGCCUAGUAGUUUGAAGUGCAGCGUUGGCAAUAUUUUGCUCAGUGUGUUUGUGCUUGUAGAUCCAGGUCCUUCACUUGGAAGAAUCUAGGAGUUGUAAAACUCCUUUAGGUUUUGCUGGAAGUGUACCUACUCAUAAAGACAAGGCAGAGAUCAAGUGCAUGGGCCCUAUUGGUGAAAAACACCAACAGAACCAAAAGUGUAUUUGUUCUUCUCUAACCUUAAGCAUAGUGAGCAGGACAAAGUUGAUGGAUCAUGAGUGUAGCAUUUGAAACAUUUGUCAGAUCAGAUGGCUCAACCUAAUGGAAAGAUAAUCUAUCUAUAUUUAUGUUUUGUUUAUAUCUUCCAAAGAUUGAAUGUGCAACAUUUUAGCUUAUAUGAUUAGGAGUGCGAGAUCACGAAGGUAGUACUAAGAACAAAGAUUAAAGGACUAAACAUGUUGAAUUAAUUGGGUUGGUUAAUGUGGAGUUACAAAUCAUACAUGUUUGUCUCUUUAUUUUAUGUGAACGCCAGAACCGAGAAGCUUAUAAAAAGUGAUAGUUAAGUACCUUAAGAUGUUAUCUUACUUGAAGAGUGAUGGUACAGUAUCACCUUGUGGAAGCUUUCCUUAGCGGUUGUGCAUCAUGUUUGUGGCACCCUCCAUGGAUCAUCUCUUGCGAGCUAUGCCUUCCUUGUGUAAAUUGUUAACCUUCAUAUGUCUCUCUCUUUAUCUCCAAUGUGAGUUUAUCUCAGGACUUCCUAGGUCGAUAUUGAAAGUUUUCCUGCAGAGGUUAGUUCAACAAAAUAUCCAAUAUCUACUAUAGCAUACUAUCGGCUCAAAAAUCAACCUAGACACCAUGUCUAAUUUGAUUUAGGAGGGCAUUUUAACCUAAGCACCAUGCUUAAUUUAAAAUCCCUUGGAAGGAAGAUCAUUAUUCCUAAACUAAGCACCGUGCUUAAUUAAGUGAUAAAUUAAACUACUCCAAACCUAGACAUAUACUAAAGCAAACAAAGGUAGCAUGAGAGCAUUUAUAGAGAUCUACUUAAGUGGAGAUGAAGUAGUGUGAUUAGUAUUUAACAAAUUGAGCAUGUCUCAAAGGUAGGGACAACCAACAUAGCAACACGGAAAAGGAUGUUUUUAUGUAAAGUACUCCCCCAAGCUUGAAUUUUGCAAAAUUCAAGUUUGGAUGAAUUUAAUUCAAUGUUGUAUGAUGAUUGGUUGGACAUACCUUGUGCUUGUCAUUCAUCCGAUCUUCUUGCUCCAAUCCUAGAAAGGUUAGUGACAAGAAUACCCGAAGGAAAUUUUUUUUACAAUUAUCCUUAUAUGCUCAAUACACAAGGCAAUGCUGCAAAUAAUUAAAAGUUCAUGUUACGAUCUGAUAAGUGCUUGUUUUAGGACACUAAGCUUGUCCUUGGGAAACCACCAAUUUAUGUCGGCGAAGUGGUUUCCCCUCCAACGCUUAUCAAGAUCAACUCAACCAGAUCUGCAAUAUUUAUUAUAGACAUAUGCAUCGGCAACCGUCCUAUUAAAGUUUCUAUAGAUAGGAAGAAAGAGGGGGUUGGAGAUCUCAAAUGUGUUGAUGUUGGAGAGACCAAUAGAUUGGGAAGAUGUUGCAUAUGAGCAUGGAGUAAACGAAGUGGCUAUGAAAUAAAUUCCAUGCUCAUUAAUGUUAUCUUUGUCUCCAAUCUGAAUGUUCGGAGUUUCUCCUAGAUUGGUCUCGCCUAUGUCCUCUUCUGUAGUUGGAUGAAUCUCAUCUUAAAAGGGAGUUAGGAACUCACCAUUUGAAAUUAAGCUAAAGUCAGAAUCCAUUAAGGCUUCUUCCUUGUCCAUCCAUUCAAUGGUGAUAGCACAUGGAUUUUUAAUGCCCCCUAGCCAUUGAUGUUGCUCUUCUCGAUCCUCCUUAUGGUCUUGGUGACUCUUAUGCAUGGGAUAUCUAGAGAGGUUCAUAGGAUCAUCGGGAGGUUCAAGAGAAAGAGCAUAGUAGAAAUUAUUAAGCUCAAGGAUGGGUUUAAAGAUAGGUUCGAAUGAGUCAUCAAAACUAGGCGUAGAAGGGGAGAAGAUGAGAUUGUCUUCUAAAUGGCUUCACUCUCCUUCUAUUGCAUCACUUAAGAUGCCAUCCUUGAGUCUUUCUAGAUGUGCAUCAAAGGGAUUGGAUUUUAGAUGCUUUCUAAGAGAUCCCUUCUUAGGAAGGUUCAGACUAUAUGCACUCAAAGGUCUCUUAUGAAGCAGGAAGUUUAAGCUCAUCCCAAAAUGAAUUUCCAAAGGUAGAAUUUCUUAUUCUCUUAGAUUAUUUUAGAGCACUACAAGUUUGGGUUGGAUAGCCGAAUCAUGGGAUUGAAAUGUUUGGAAAUCGGCUAUUGGAACUUCCUUUUCUCGUCUGGGAGAUGAUUCCUUCUCUAUCUCUAGGUUUUUUUAUGAAGACUAGUGCAAGAAGGAUGUCCACGAAUGAAGACAUACCUUGCUUUACUAACAGAUAAAGAAAGAAAAACUCUACCAAAGGUUAUAUGAUUAAGACCAAUGUGAAAAUAUCGAGGAAAAACAUGGUCUUGUAGGUCUAGGUUUAAACCAGAAUUUAUAGAAAGAUUAACAGAUUCCCUAGGUGUAGCUAAAAGUUCAUUAUCUUCUUGAUUAAAAGAUAGGACCUCAGCUAUAGAAAAGGGUUGGUUUUGACCUAUUGCAAUCAACUCCAGACACAGAUCAUAAUUAGGGUCAAAGAAAGGACUUGUUGACUCCCAUGGUCUAUGGCUGGUCUCCGAAGGUGCAAAAAAUUUAAUAAUAGGUGUGGAAUUUGAGUUAUCCAAUAAGAUAAAAAGAUAAAAGAAUAAAAGAAUAAAAGUAUAAUUGUUGAUGCAAAACUGAUCUGCAAACACAAAGGGCUAAUACCCGAUUCAAACGUUAAGGCGUGCCAGCCGAUUUGACCUUGCUAUCGGCAAAGGUGAUAACUCGAAUACUUUAGUCCUGACAACAGCGAUGCGCCCGGAUGUCACGGCUAAGAGGUACUCACGCGGAACUCGAGAACACGCCGAGCUUAAGUCGACGAAUUCCUAAGAACUCGUAAUAAAAGGAAAAAAAAUAUGACGAAGUCGUCGAAAAGUAGAUGCUGGAAUAUGAGUAAAAACGUGUGUUUGAUUGAUUUUUUGAUAUAUUGAUUACAAGGUCCUAGGGUUUAUAUUUAUACCCUGCUCAAAGAGCUACAACCAGACACGAUUAGAAUUCGAAUUCCAAAUUACACGGAAUCCGUAUACAAAACGAUGCAAAUAACUAAGGAAAUAAUAAAACUAUCCUUCGUGACAAACCGAAACUCCUCCAGAUGACAACUGGCAGCUUCCGGACUCCUCCUUCGCGUCAUCGGCAAUCCCCUUGUCAUAGUCAUCGGCAGAUCUUUUUACCCAGCCAUCGGCACCAUAUUACUGCCUGUGGACUUAGUCACAUUCAACUUCUCCCUCAUCGGCAACCAUCCUCAUCAGCAACCCGCAUUGUACUGCCACCCUAUCCUGCCAUCCUGGACACGUGCCCAAAAACGGUGUCAACACAUGCCCCCCAGUUUCGGAGUAUAAAACUAUUAAUGCUCCGAAAUUCUCUGCAGUAGUGAUGCCUUCUCCGCAAUUAAUGCUCCUAAUCUGGUAACCGACAACCUCAAUCUGGACAACUCUGAUCCUAAUCCUCCGCAGAUUCCUCGAAAUUCCCAACUUCCUAAACGGGCAUCUUUCUUGGUCGUACAUCGGCAACAAUUCCGUUAUAAAGAUCUGCCGAUGCUCUGACCAGGAUAUUCGCAAAAAACGGUUACCCCCCGUUUAUCCGCCCAUCGGCAAGAUGACCGUUAUAGAAUAUCGCCGAUGGACCGACCAGGAGAUCGCACACAGUAAAAUAUCUUUAGAUAAUGACCGCUUCCUGUCAAAUCACCUGCACAAUCCCUGGAUUACCGUGCGAACAGUUACCAUAUCCACCUGAGUACCCUCGGGCUUCUCGGAUGCGGCAAAGAGAUAAGACGGAUUUGCCCUUGCCCAUCUUGUCCUAUAAAUAGUUCCUUCUUGGGUACUCCUCCCCCAUUACACCAUUCUACUAUCCAACUUUGCUUUUCCAGCGGCGGUGCCAUCUACAACCCUCAAGACCUCCGACAAGCACUCUUCUUCAUCAACACCGGUGCCCUCCAACGUCCUCUUCAUGACAAGAUGGCCAUUGGCUUCGUCGUCCCUGAGGUCAAACUUCCAUCUCAUCUGCUGUACCUUUUUCUCGCAUUCCUGUUCAUCUGCGAUUCAUCUUACCGAAUAUUUUCCUUUCCCUUUUUCUUUGUAUUUUUAUUCUCCAAAACACUAGGAGUUGUCCAACAAAAUUGUCAUCCCUACCGAUCAACCACACCUUCAGUGCCUCGGCCCUCUAGGGGAUCCAGAUCCAACCGACCUUAUCAAUGCAGAAACCAACAGGAUUCCCUUUAGAGCUGAAAACUUUUCUUUAGAUCUGUGGAAAGACACCUUUCGUUCUUGGCCCAGCCCUACUGUAGGGUGGAAAGAUUGGUUUUUAAGGGUCAGCAAUUCUUAUGAAGUUCAAUGGGGUGAGAGGAAGCUAGCUCAAUGCAUGAGGCUAUCCAUUGCCGAUAUGCAUAGGAACGAGUCAUUGCUGAUAGCUGCAUCCUACUUUUGGUCAGACACCCUCAAUGCUUUUGUUUUUGGCCACGGCCCUGCUUCUCCUACCCUUGCCGAUGUAGCCAUGCUUACUGGGCUAGAUAUAUCUUCUGCCGAUAGCACCCACUUUUUUGAUACCGCCCCCAGUGCCAAAGUGGAGACUCGCGCUAUCGGCGGUUGGUCAGGGUACAUCUAGAAGUACCGCGGGAGAGGGCCUGUCACCACAAAGGAGCAAACCACCUUUCUGAACAUGUGGCUGGACAAGUUUGUAUUCUGUGGUCGAUCGGCAGGACCGACUUCUGUCUAUCUAUCGGCAGCAGAAAGACUGGCUAGCGGCGGCCAAUUUCCUCUCGGCUGAUAUUUGCUCGGCGCUGUUUACCACCUUCUUCAUCAGGUAGCCCAGAAACUCCUGCUUGGCCAAUCCAUCGGCAACUUGGGAGGCCCCUGGUGGUUUAUUAAUAUGUGGCUCAAUCUGCACCUGCAUAAGCGCCUUGAUUUCAACUUGUUCUCACAGCACUUCCCAAGAGAUAUAGCCGAGAAUCAUGUGUUAGGUGAAGAGGAAUCGGCAACGCGUGCCCCCUUGAACUUUGGUGAAGCCGUUAUAGUUUUACCCGGUUCAGGGAACAAUCCGGAUCAGAUCGGCCGAUUCUUCGAGACUCUGUAUGAGGGUCUGGCCAGAGAUGAACGACCAUGGCUGGCUUAUGACGACCCAGACAGCAUGCUCCCUCUGACCUUCAAUCCAUUUGAUGAAGCUCUUGACAGGGACAAUGAGGUGAUGAUGGCAAUCGUGACUCCCAGAGCCAUACCAGUGAAUUUCUUCGGUAGCACGAAAACCUCCCCCCAAACCUAUGAAUUUUAUAAUCCAUCGGCAUUAGCUCGCCAGCUAGCUUUUGGCCAAUUGCCGAUUGCACUUCCUUAUGCCGAUGUAAUAAAGCCCAGAGAGCCCAUCGCCAACCUCCUCGAGUGGACUCGAGUAGCCCAGCUACCACCAAAUGCCGAUACAGAUGUAGAUCUGUCAGAAUGGGUUCCAGCUGCCUUUAUCACUCAGGCAUACAAGCUAUGGUGGGCAGAAUGGAAAGACAAUCUAUUCUGCAGAUCGGCUCUCUCAUACCGUGGCAUGAUCGACCCCGAAUACGAAGUCCCUGAUGACACUGUAAGUAUUUUAAACCGAUGUCUCAUUUUCCAAUACUAUUCCCAUCGGUAACUUACCCCUGUAUUCCUUUUGCAGAUUGACAACACCCCCCCAUCGGUUAGCAGGAGUGGCAAGCCGAUCGACUUAUACCCAUCAGGCCCGAUCUCUUCAAUCGGCCAUAAUGCUCCCACUCUGGCUUCCAUCGUGCACCGGGGUGCGCGUCUCAAGAAAGUUACCACCAGGAAAACUCAGACAUCACCAACGGUAACUGCUUCCACUCUGGCGCAAGCUUUCAAGGCAAUCUGUUAAAACCUUUUUCAUUUAUGCUGACUAUCUUUGUAUCGGUUAUCUGUGCUCAUAAACUCCUUUUUGUUGUUGCAGCAAACUGGUGCAUCGGCAAAAGCCAAACGCCAAGGUGCCAAUGCCCCCUAGUCUAGCCAGCCAAAGAGGAAGGGCACCCAAGGUGCUAAGGCUGGAACAAAGCGCCAGAAAGUGACAACUCCUCCUCCUCCUCCGGUGUCUCCAAUCCCGGUGGAAUCUUCCCCUUCUCCUCCAGAAGUCCAGACACAGCAAGCACCAUCUCCCCAACCAAUACAGGAAGCACCACAGAUGGAAGAACCCCAGCAGGAAGAACCUCAAACGGCAGGUACAUCAGCUGACGUAGGUGAACAAACAACUGGCCCGGCAGGUCCAGUUAUAUCAUCGGCGGUUUCCCCGACUCAGGCAGCUGUUGUCUCUCCUCCGGGUAACAUAUCCCAACAAUACUUCCGCCGAUAAACUUAUUCUCAUUUAGUCUCAUAAUCCUUCCUGUCUUCUUUCAGGCGAUAUCGUUCCAUCGGCAACAUUUGCCGAUCAACCUGUAGCUCCAUCGGCAUCUUUGAGUCAAAGGCAAGAAAUCGCCUUGAAGCAAGUAAGUCAUCCAAUUUUCCACCAGUAUCGUCUGCCGAAGUUUUGACCAUAAAACUGACUUAUUUCAUCUUCAUUUUCAGGAACAAGAUUCUCCCAACAGCUUAUUCUCCUUCGCUAUUGAUAUCUUCGAAGAAGAAGGCGAGGAAGCAAGCUCCUCUCGGGCAGUUGGAACUGUAUCGGCAGAAACCAGAGCUAAGCUGGAAGAGCUAUCGGCCAUACUUCAUCAAGACACAACUCAACUGGUCAACGAUUCUGACCCAGCCAAAGCCCUGUUCAAGACCCUUAGAGGCCAAAUUCCUGCCGAUGCUGAAGAAACACUCUUCCAUGCUGCACACCUAGAAAGCCGCCAGCUACAGUACCAGAGAGCCACUCGACGCCUUGCCGAUAGAGCCGCUCAAAUCCAGCUUUCUGAGGAGAUGAUGAAAGAAAAGCUCUUAGCCGAUGAGAAACAUAAGAACAUCGGCACCUUAAAGUCCUCAGGUGAUGCACUGAAGCAGAAAGUGUCUGAUCUUUCGGCAAAAAGAGAAGCUCUACUGGCCGAACUCAAGCAAGUAGAGGACGCCCUGUCCCAAGCCCAUCAAGAAGAGAGUCAACUGCCGGAGACCAUCAAGCACCUUGAACAAGAACGAAACGUCCAUGGUCGCAAAGCGCUGCAGCUGAAGAGGAAGCUGAAGCCGAUAGAAGGUUCUGCCGAUGAUGAUAUCAAAGAGAUAGAGACAGCCAAUCAGAUUCGGCUGCGCGCCAUAUCAGCAAUCCAAGCGCUGCUGAACAUCUGAAGCUUUCACCGGCAACGCACCUUUGUUUUUCCGCUUUUAGCUUUUAGUCUAGCCGAUAAGACUGUUAUCGGCAUCUUUUGAAACAUUAAGUCUACCCUCGAACAUUUAAAUCCAGCCGAUAGGAGUGUUAUCGGCACUUAACUUUUAUGCGUCGACCCAUAUGCUGGGGUAGUACUUCUUUAAAUAUUUGCCAUUUAAUGCUCUGGGAAAUUCAACUCCCUCGAGAGUUUCUAGAAUAUAGGCAUUACCAGGAGCUGAGUGUCUUAUCCGAUAAGGACCUUCCCAAUUAGGAGACCACUUCCCAAACUUCGAACUUUUAGUCCCAACUGGCAAAAUCAACUUCCAUACCAAAUCCCCAUCGGCAAACUCCUUAGCCUUUACUUUUUUAUCAUACCAUCUAGCAACUCUCUUCUUAUUUUCUUCUAUACUCAUUAAAGCCUUUAACCGAUGUCCUGCUAAAUCAUCUAACUCAUCGGUCAUUAAAGUGGCAUAAUCAUCGGCAGCCAAUUGAUCUUGAAAAGAUAAUCGCCUAGAUCCAGCCUUAAUCUCCCAAGGCAACACUGCAUCAUGUCCAUACACCAAUUGAUAGGGUGCCACCUUGGUUGAUCCAUGACAAGCCAUCCGAUAAGACCACAGUGCUUCAUUUAACAAUGUAUGCCACCGCCUAGGAUUUUCUUCAAUCUUCCGUUUAAUAAGCUUGAUAAUCCCUUUGUUAGACGCUUCGGCCUGCCCGUUGGCUUGAGCAUAGUAAGGAGAAGAAUUCAACACUUUAAUUCCCAUACCGAUUGCGAAUUCAUCGAACUCCCCCGACGUGAACAUGGUGCCCUGAUCGGUAGUAAUCGUUUGGGGAAUCCCAAAUCGGUAAAUAAUAUGCUCCUUCACAAAAUCAAUCAUAUUGGCCGAUGUGACUUUCUUCAAAGGAAUAGCUUCGACCCACUUAGUGAAAUAGUCAGUGGCAACUAGAAUGAACUUAUGCCCUUUGCUAGAUGGUGGAUAAAUCUGGCCGAUCAGAUCGAUGGCCCACCCCCGGAACGGCCAAGGUUUUAUUAUAGGAUUCAUAGCCGAUGCGGGUGCUCUCUGGAUAUUACCGAACUUUUGACAACCUUGACAUCCCUUGAAAUAUUUAAAACAAUCUUCAAGUAUGGUUGGCCAAAAAUAUCCAUUCCUUCGAAUCAUCCACUUCAUCUUAAAAGCUGACUGAUGCGCUCCACACACUCCUUCAUGGAUUUCCCCCAUCAAACUUCUGGCUUCAUCAUCACCCAAGCAUCGGAGAAGAAUUCCGUCGAUAGUUCGAUAAUACAAUUCAUUUUCAAGGAGCACAUACUUGGUCGCUUGAAAUCGAACCCGUCUUUCAACUUUUUUGGAUGGAUCUUCUAGAUAGUCGAUAAUUUCUUUCCUCCAAUCACCGGCACUGACUGCCGAUGUCGCAUUAAUCAUUGGCUGAUAUCCUGAGGCAUGCUGGGCUAACCGAUUAGCGUCUUCAUUAUGCAAUCGGGGAACAUGCUCCAAUCGGAAGUUCUUGAAUUCCUUUAACAGUUGCGUACUUCUCUCGAAAUAGGUUAUGAGAACUUCACUUCGGCAUUCAUAGCUUCCGGCCAAUUGAUUUAUAACCAACAUGGAAUCCCCGAAUAUUUCAACAGCAUCAGCACGAACUUCUCUUAACAACUCCAAUCCCUUGAUCAGAGCUUGAUACUCAGCCUGAUUAUUUGUUGAUGUAGCAACAAUCGGCAAGGAAAACUCAUACUUCCUCCCCUUGGGAGAAACCAAUACAAUGCCGAUUCCUGCCCCCCGGUCACAGGUAGAUCCAUCAAAGAAGAGCGUCCAGGGUGCAAUUUCCAAGGUUUCCACUAGACCGCAAUGCUGAGUCACAAAAUCGGCCAUGAUCUGCCCUUUGACUGCCUUAGCCGAUUCGUAACGCAAAUCGAACUCCGACAGCGCUAAAAUCCAUUUACCGAUCCUACCAUUCAUAAUCGGCAUAGAUAGCAUGUAUCGGACCACAUCAUCUUUGCAAACAACAGCACAUUCAGCCGACAACAGGUAAUGUCUCAGCUUGAUACAUGAAAAAUAUAAGCAUAAGCACAGUUUCUCAAUGGCCGAAUACCUGGUUUCAGCAUCAAUCAACCUCCUACUCAAAUAAUAAAUUACUCUCUCUUUCCCUUAAAAUUCUUGAACUAAAGCUGAACCGAUAACCGAUCCAUCGGUAGAUAAAUAUAAUUUGAAGGGUUUCCCUUGUUGAGGUGGAACUAAAACUGGAGGAUUUACUAGAUACUUUUUGAUUUCAUCCAGAGCCAACUGCUUUUCUUCUCCCCAAACAAACUCCUGAUCGGCUUUCAAUUUAAGAAGAGGACUGAAAGCACGAAUUCUCCCAGAUAAAUUCGAUAUAAAUCUUCUGAUAAAAUUCACCUUGCCGAUCAAGGAUUGGAGCUCAGUUUUAUUGGUAGGGGCCACUAUUUUAUUGAUGGCAUCAAUAGAUCUUCGACUAAUUUCAAUACCCCUCUGAUGUACCAUGAAACCAAGAAACUGCCCUGCCGAUACGCCAAAUGCACAUUUGUUGGGAUUCAUCUUUAAUCCAUGCUUCCUUGUGCAUUCCAACACUUUUCGUAAAUCGGCAAGAUGCUUUGAGAAAUCUCCAGACUUAACCACCACAUCAUCGAUAUAAAUUUCUACGAACUUGCCGAUGAACUCAUGAAAUAUAAAAUUCAUGGCCCUUUGAUAAGUAGCACCAGCAUUCUUUAACCCAAAAGUCAAGACUAUCCAUUCAAAUAGUCCAACAUGACCAGGACACCUGAAUGCGGUUUUUGGAAUAUCUUCCUCUGCCAUGAAUAUUUGAUUGUAACCCGCAUUACCAUCCAUAAAGCUGAUAACCCGAUGGCCGGCCGCAGCAUCAACCAGUAGAUCGGCGACAGGCAUUGGGUAUCCAUCCAUCGGUAUAGCUUUAUUGAGAUUCCUGAAAUCAAUGCACACCCGAAGUUUCCCGUUCUUCUUGUAAACCGGAACAACAUUGGAAAUCCAUUCGGCAUACCGACACUGCCGAAUAAACUUAGCUUCAAUAAGUUUAGUGAUUUCGGCCUUAAUAUCAGGUAGAAUGUUAGGAUUACAUCGGCGGGCUGGUUGCUGAUGUGGCCGAAAUCUAGACUUGAUGGGUAACCGAUGUUCGACAAUUGAUCAGUCUAAACCAGGCAUCUCUGUAUAAUCCCAAGCAAAGCAAUCUUUAUAUUCCUUUAACAAACUAGUCAAUUGUCACUUACACUCAUGAUCUAAUUUAGCACUAAUAAAAGUAGGCCUAGGCUUAUCACCACUACCUAUAUCUACUUCUACCAAAUCAUCGGCCGAUGUGAACCCCUGGCCUAAUUUUCCAUCAUCGGCGAAUCUAUCCAUUAAAAACCGUCGUCAGAACCGACUGCUUGGAUCGGUGGAAUCUCAUAAUCGGCAACUUUGAGAAAAUCUUUCUCCCAAACUUCUCCUGAAAUGCACCUAGUCCUUUCAUAAGUAUCCGCUUCUGCCGAUGCGAUAACAUAGGAAGAAUCCCCUGGGACGAUCUCAAUCUUGUCACCUACCCACUGAACCAAGCACUGAUGCAUUGUAGAUGGGACACAACAAUUGGCAUGAAUCCAAUCUCUCCCCAAUAAUAAAUUGUAGGCACCUUUUCCGCUGAUCACGAAAAAAGUUGUCGGCAAGGUUUUGCUGCCGAUGGUCAACUCCGCACAUAUCGCCCCCUUGACUGGAGACACGUUUCCCUCGAAGUCUUUGAGCAUCAUAUCGGUCUUGGUCAAAUCUUGAUCCCCUUUCCCAAGCUUCCGAUAUACUGCAUACGGCAUAAUAUUAAUAGCAGCUCCACCAUCAACUAGGAUCUUAGUCAUUGGCUGCCCAUCAACCCUCCCUUUGAGGAACAAAGCUUUAAGAUGCUGCCUCUCGUCAUCGGCAGGUUUCUCAAAGAUAGCCGUCAUCGGAUCCAGAGCUGUCGACGAAAGCUAGUCGGCAGUCUACCUUGGGGUAUACCCACGGUAGUAGUUUAUCGGUAGACGGUGCGCAAACUACGAACUCGAUGGUGACGCAAGACACGGACAAGCUUUUUAUCCAGGUUCGGCCGCCGAGUUGGCGUAAUACCUACGUCCUGCGUCUGGUUGUAUUGGAUUGUGUUGAGAGAUAAUCUACCCUAGGGGGUCCCCUUGCCCCUCCUUAUAUAGUCUGGAGGGCAGGGUUACAGAUCUAGAACUAAUCCUAGCCGGUUACAAUUGCCAUAGAUAAUUCGAUAUCAAUUCCUAUUCUAACCGACUAGAAUCCGGCUUGAUCUCCACGUCCUGUUUCCUUACGCGAAACUCCAGGUUGUCGGAUCAAGCCUUGAACUCGUCUCGUGAUGGGCCAAGCCUCCUGGCCGAAGUCUAGCCGUAAGGGUAUAGGGGUUUAUACCCCCACAGCUAGUCCCCGAGCACCAUGUAUUGUGAUGUAACACGUCGUCUUGAGCUUCUUCGAUCAGUGAGACUUGACGUCUUCAAUAAGUGGGAAAGUCGUCCAAACAGUUGCAACGGUUCUUUGACCAACUCAAAAGACAGUUGAUCAACAUUGACAUCGAAGAAGCGAGUUGUUCGAAGAAUGCGUGGUGCUCUAAAUUAAAAAAGAUUUCUUUCCUGAUGAAGUGUGCCCACUUUACUUUUUCGAAAAGUAUAAACAUCAAAAAAGCAAGCAUAUUCACCGCAAGGUGAAGUGUGCCCACUUAGUCCCCGAGCCUGGUAGCAGGUGACGUAGACACGUGGUGCCAGGGUCAAAAGAAAAGUCCCCAAAGUAGUUUUUGAGACUGAGAUGCAUCGCUAGAUGCAUCGUACCGAUGUAGUCCCCGAGCUUGCUGGAAGGCGAAGUAUGAGCCUUGUAGCAAGGUCUAAAAAAUUGAAUUUACCAGUCCCCGAGCAUGUCAUGCUCGUCUGCAAUCGAAAAGACCAAUCGACCAGUCCCCAAGCACUUAGUGUGUUGCCUGGAAUUACGCGUUACUUAUACUGUACGACCAGUCCCCGAGCAUCGAGUGCUCAGUGGUCGGUGCAUGCUUUAAAGCUUUGAGCUGAUAGACUGAGCGACCAGUCCCCGAGCGUCGAGUGCUCGGUGGUCGGUGAAGUCUUUGAAGUUCCGAGCUGAUAAACUGGGCGACCAGUCCCCGAGCGUCAAGUGCUCGGUGGUCGGUGCAGUCCCCGGAUUUCCGAGCUGAUAAACUGGGCGACCAGUCCCCGAGCGUCAAGUGCUCGGUGGUCGGUGCAGUCCCCGGAUUUCCGAGCUGAUAAACUGGGCGACCAGUCCCCGAGCGUCAAGUGCUCGGUGGUCGGUGCAGUCCCCGGAUUGCUGACUCACUGGCGUAUGUGUCUUCUUACUUUUGAAAAGGUCUUUCAAAUUUAAAGUUGACGUGACGGGGUCUGCUGACGAUAUGUCAGACGGAUGCACGAAAAGCCGUGCCUGGCAACUGUACAACCGCUCUUUGCGUGGUUUGAGAAAAGGAAACCAUCAAUUGGUACGAAAACUCCGCCGCAUUAAUUGUCUAUAAUCAUUGUAAACCGAAACGCCGCAUCCGCCGCAUGGCCUGCCCACUUCCCGAGAUUACAGGAAGUGGGAGAGGUGGGGUCGCUGGUUUAUAAGGGCCUAAUAGGACCGCCUGUACCGCUUCUCCGGCCAUUGCCUUCAAACCUUCCGUUCUCAUCUUCUCCAAUCACCUGCAUCUUCCUAACUCCGGCCCACAUUCGCACCUCUAAUGGCGAAGAGCGACUCCAGGAAGAGGGCCGACCUGAUGGCCAAGGAAUGGAAGAAGUCUCGCAGCACCAAAAAAUCUCUUGGUGACCUCGUCGAUAUGGGGCUGCUGCACGACGCAGAGCUCGGCGGCUGGAGGGCGCCAGAGGGGGAGAGCUACCCCGAUCCUCGCGCCGGUGAGGUCGUCGUUUUUGAAGACUUCGUUAAGAGAGGUUUUGGUGUUCCAGUCCAUCCUUUUCUUCAAGGUCUUCUUUUGUACUAUGAGAUCGGGAUUUGCAAUCUGCACCCGAACUCAAUUCUCCUUAUUUCCACCUUCAUCCAUCUGUGCGAGGCCUAUGUUGGCAUAGAGCCGCACUUUGAUCUUUUCCGGUAUCUUUUCUGUCUGAGGAAGAAGGGAGCAGUUGGAGGCUCCAAGGUUGCAGGUGGAGUAUACCUCAACCUCCGUGAUGGGAUGAAGAAUCGCUACCUGCACUGCCCAUGGAACACCUCCUUGACCGAAUGGUACAGGAAGUGGUUCUACGUCAGGGAGGAACCGGGCAGCUCCACGUUCUGCAACGUGGGGUACGUUCCCGAGAAGAGGGCGAGCUGGACUGACCGCCCAGAGUUCGACGGUCAAGUGGCGGUUCUGAUGAAGCUGAUCGACUGGUCACGCCUGGAUGGGCUCAGCGUGGUCGGCAACUUCAUUUGCCGCCGGGUGAUGCCCUGCCAGAAGAGGGUGCACUCGGCGUAUGAGUAUGCCGGAAGCACUGACCCGACCAGGAUGCGGUCGGAGAUCCUGGAGAAGGCGGAGGUACAACAGCUGCUAAACGAGCUGUUUAACUUCGCGGAUGGGGGCUUCACCCGUAGCAGUGAUCGGGUGCAAGCCUUCAAGUUAGGACGACCAGCACCAAAGGUAUGUAGCAGACUUCGUUUGAUCGUUCGUAUGUCGCCUGUAGUUGGCUCAUCUCUGUUACCUUUGCAGGUCGGUGAUGUCGACCGGUGCGUAGUGUACGUAUCGCUGGCACCGGGGAUGGAAGAUCCUGUGCGAGAGGUCCCGCCGGAGGAAAGCAGAGCCCGCCCCGUCCCGACCUCCGAGGAGAGGGUGGCGGGGAAAAGGCCAUUGCUGGUGGAUCCCCUGCCGACGCCGGAGCUGCCGGCAGACCUACCGGCGGAGAGCAGCCAAGCGCCGAAGCGUCGUCGGCUCGUGCGGAUCGUCGACGACGACGACGACGACGAGGAGGCUGCGCCGUCGUUGGUCCGACGGCCUCGGGGCCGCCCAGACGCUGCACCAGUCGCCACUGAUCGAGUGGCCAGCGGCGCGGCUGCCCCGCAAGUUGCCGAGGUGGGGGCACAGGCGCCGACCGGCCGGGCGAGGAGGAGGUUCACCGCGACCCAUCGCCGGUCAGACCUGUAAGUGUUCAACUUACGUACUUUGGACUCCCCCUUUCUUUUUUUUUUUUUAAACUUUUGUUCCUGUAGUGCGGCAUCGGAUGUCGACCCUGGCCAAACUGCCGGCCAGGGGACGGGCGAGCCUGCCCGCGGUUCUGGGGAUGCGGCCCCCCAGACCACAGAACAGCCGACUGCUGCAGUCGCCCCUGGGAGCACCGAGGAGCUCCCGGGCGCGGCGCCGACUACAGCAAGCAGCCCGACCAGGGCUGGGGAGGCUCCCCCAACUGACUCUUCGGGGAGGGGAAAGUCUCCGACCGCUCCUCCUGCCGGGGGGAGUGAAGUCCCCCCGCCGCCCCGAGCAGAAGCCUCUCCUGCUGCGGGCUCCCCAGGUCCGGUCCAAGGGACGUUGACGCCUGGGACCGCCACCGGGGGUGACGCAGCCCAGGAGGAGGAAACCAGGGCGGCCUCCGACGACGAGGUAGAAGAGAUCGAGGGUCGUCCCCGUGAUGGCCGCCAACACGUGUAUGUGUGGCGCCAACGCGGGGACCACUUUAUCGGUCACGAGGAGCUUGCCGAGUCCGAGGAGGCCGCCAGGGUGGAGCGCGCGGCUAAGCGCCUUGUCGACGAAGUCAAGGUAAGCGUCGUUUUGAGCUGCCGCGCAUUCUUUUGCCUUGUCUUCUGUGCAUUGUUAUAUGCUUGCUUUGUAGGACGUUAUGAAAACGGCGAAGUACCGGAAACGGUGCUUUGACCAGAUAGAAGGCGUCAUGGCCGAGAACAAGGCCCUUGCCGCGGAGGUAGACCGGUUGCGGGCGGAGGUCGGAGAGAAGGUGGUCGAGAUGAGCACCGAGAAGGAGCGUCGUCUCGACCUCGCUCGUCGCCUGGCCGACCAGUACCGGCUGCAGGAACGUUAGUCUCACGCUCCGAGCAGUUUCGCAGACUUGUAUAGUUUGCUUCGCUGACCAGUUUAGGAUUCACGCAGACUUGGAGGAGGAGGUGGCGAGCCUCCAACAAGAGAAGGAGCAGCUCGGCCAGCAGCUCGCCAGUGCGCAGGAGUCCGGACGGCGAGCGGAAGAGGAAUUAAGUCGUAAGGACCGGGAGUUAGCUGGUAAUGGGUGCCGCCUUGUUGGUUGCUACCUGCCCCUUUGCUUGUCUGAUAUGCCGAAAGUAACGUUUCGUUUCGUUUGCAGUGCUCAAGGCGAACACCAAGAAGCACCUGGAUGAGCUGGUCAAGGACCGGGACUCCUGGAAGGUCAACUGUUGCAGGAUCUGGAAGGGAGUGUCCCCGGUCCUGGACCUGAUCAGUCCCGAGCUCCCGGAGAGCCAGCCCCGCGCGCCGCAGUUGACCCCGGUUCAAAAGGCGCAACGGGCGUGGGACUGGCUCCAGCAGUUUGUGAAGGACGCCGGGGAGUUUGCCGGCGCGCACGUCCUUAGCAUGGUACGCGCCCACUACCCCCUUGUCGACUUGAGCAGGCUGGAGAAGGGGUACCCGAAGGAAGUCGGCCCACAGGAAGCGGACGAACUUCGGGGUAGUCUGCUGGACUUGUCGUCGACAGUGAUCGGCGACAUUAACCUGUGCGGAACGGCCACUCCUCCAGACCAGCCGGGCUCAGAUAGGUCGGCCAGGGAGUUGUCGGGCGCGUCCUUUGCUGGAGAUGGGCGGUCGACGCCUGCGGUCUCGACCAGCCAGGCGCCGGUGGCCCCAACCCCUUCGUCCGGGCAGCAGGGCCAGGCGGGUGAUCAGCCCGAGCAGCUAGGCCAAUAAAGUAGUCUGUAGGAAUAGACUAGUAUCUGCCCGUCAGGGUAUUUAUUGUAAACUUUGUAUGUAAAGUUUGUAAUAAAGUUUUCUUUUUGUCAUGACUGUUGUUUUGAGCGCUGUAAAAAUAUCUGAGUGACGUGUCACCGUAUUUGUCUUGGUUGUCGCCAAGAGCAUCCAUUGCGGGAGUUUUGCCGAGUGCUGUGUAUGACAAGGUAUAGGCAAAAAAUAGAGAAUUAUAUUGUCACAAAUUAUAAGACACUUACAAAAGAAAGUCGCUAAAACUUUAUGGAUAGAAACGUCGCAAUUUGUCGAUGUGCCAAGAGUUAGGCACUCGUGUUCCGUCUGGGUAUGCCAAUCUGUAGGACGUAGGUCGUGUGACCUCGGUCACCACAAAGGGUCCUUCCCAGGGAGUAGAUAACUUGUGCAUUCCCUCCUGGCUUGUUUUCCAUCGAAGCACCAGAUCGCCGACCACGAAGGAACGGUCCUUGACGUUCCUGUUGUAGUAUCGCCUGAUUGACGCGAGAUAUUUUGCUGUUCGGAGACAUGAAACUAAACGCUUUUCCUCCAUGCAAUUGAUUUCGAGUUCUCUGGCGUUGUCGGCGGUCGACUGGUCGAAGUGCUCAAUUCUAGGGGAUCCGAAAUGUAUGUCGGACGGCAGAACCGCCUCUGCGCCGUACACCAUGAAAUAGGGAGACACCCCCGUGUUUCGACUGGUCUGAGUUCGGAGGCCCCAGACCACUGCCGGCAAUUCUUUCAUCCAUCGACCGGGUGCUCUGUCGUUCUCGGCGUACAAUCUUUUCUUUAGGGCGUCGACGAUCAUUCCAUUAGCACGUUCGACCUGACCGUUGGCACGUGGGUGUGCCACUGACACAUAUUUUAUGACUAUGCCUCUGUCAUCGCAGAAAUCCCAAAAGGUGGUGCCAGUAAACUGAGUGCCCAGGUCGGUGAUUAUGCUGUUCGGGAUGCCGAAUCUGUGUAUGAUUUGAUUGAGGAACUCCACAGCCUUCUCGGAAGUUGCCUUGACCAGGGGCAUGUAUUCAAUCCACUUGGAGAACUUGUCGAUUAACACGAAGACAAACUUGAAGUUGCCCGGGGCUGGUUUAAAUGGUCCGAUCAUGUCAAGCCCCCAGCAGGCAAAGGGCCAAGACGACGGGAUGGUUUGAAUUUCAUGGGCAGGUACGUGGGUCCUCUUAGCGAAAAACUGACAUCCUUCGCAACGCCGAACCAGUUUUUCUGCAUCGCUGACCGUGGUCGGCCAGUAAAAACCUGCUCGGAAAGCCUUUCCGACCAGGGUUCUAGAUGCGGCGUGGUUGCCGCAGGAUCCGGCGUGUAUGUCCUCCAAGAGCUUGAUGCCAUCGUCUUGGGGUAUGCACUUGAGCAGUACCUCGGAGCUUGCGUUUUUCCGCAUGAGUUUUCCGUCGACCAGGAUGUAGUUCUUUGACCGUCGGAUGAGACGCUCGUUCUCUGUUUUGUCCUGAAAACCUGUCCCGUCUGAGAUGUAUUUGAUGAACGGGACACGCCAGUCGCGCCCGCUGGUUGUCGGAGUGGCGUCAUCUAUGAGCAUUGCCUCGUUGGGUUGCUUGUCGACCAGGGGGGAGCUUACGCUCGGCUCAUGGAUGUCCUGGACGAAAAUACCGCGCGGGAUUUGGGCCCGGGACGAGCCUAACUUUGACAACGCAUCUGCUGCUUGGUUCUUAUCCCGGACCACGUGGAUGUACUCUAUGCCAUAGAAGUUAGUUUCCCAUUUGCGAAUUUCUUUGCAAUAGAGAUCCAUCUUCUCGUGGGUUGCGUCCCACUCCUUGUUGAGCUGGUUGAUGACCAAAGCGGAGUCCCCGUAGACAUAGAGGCGCUUAACCCCCAGCUCAACGGCUAGUCGUACGCCAUGUAAGCAAGCUUCGUAUUCGGCGACAUUGUUUGACGCCGGGAAAAGGAUCCGAAGGACGUAGCGGAGUUUGUCCUUGUUUGGUGAUACGAACAAUAUCCCAGCGCCUGCACCGUUGAUGUUUAAGGACCCAUCAAAGAACAUUGACCAGUGGUCUGAGACAUCGGGAACGGAUGGUUCGUUGAGAUCCGUCCAUUCGGCAAUGAAAUCGACCAGGGCUUGGGACUUGACAGUGGUGCGACUCUGAAACUCCAGGGAAAAUGGACAUAAUUCCAUUGCCCAUUUCACGAUUCUGCCAUUGGCGUCUUUAUUGCGCAGGAUGUCACCGAGGGGAAAGCUGGUUGUCACCAGGACUCGAUGGCCGUCGAAGUAGUGCUUCAGUUUUCUUGACGUUAUCAGGAUGGCGUAUAUAAGCUUCUGUAUUUGUGGGUACCUGGCCUUGGAUUCGUUUAAAACUUCGCUUAUGAAGUAAACGGGCCUCUGGACCUUGAAGACGUGACCUGGUUCAUCUCGCUCGACCACUAUUGCCGUGGAAACAACUCUGUCGGUUGCAGCAAUGUAAAGGAGCAGGUCUUCGUUGGGCUGAGGCGCUGUGAGAACAGGCGGUGAAGUGAGGAAGGUCUUAAGCUGAGUGAACGCAGCGUCGGCGUCUUCUGUCCAGGAGAAUUUUUCUGACGCUUUCAAUAGUUUGAAAAAGGGGAGGCCUUUUUCUCCCAGCCUUGAGAUGAAACGACUGAGGGCGGCCAUGCAUCCGGUUAGCUUCUGGAUAUCCUUGACGUUCUUCGGUGGUCGCAUGUCGAGUACGGCUUUGACUUUUGAAGGGUUUGGCCGUAUGCCGUCGCAGCUGACGACGUUGCCGAGCAGUAGACCGGAAGGAACGCCGAAAAUGCAUUUCUUGGGGUUGAGCUUCCACUUGUACCUAUUGAGUGCCUUGAAGGUUCGGUCUAAGUUGUCGAUUAGGGUGGUCGCAUCCCUUGUUUUUACGACCACGUCGUCCACAUAGGCCUCGACGAGGUCGUCGCGAAUCUCGUCGUGGAGGCAUUGCUGGAUGGCCCUUUGAUAAGUGGCCCCGGCGUUUUUAAGUCCGAAAGACAUGGUAGUGUAACAGUAUGCGCCGAAAGGUGUGAUGAAGGAUGUUUUGAUCUGAUCUUCUUCUUUUAACGAGAUCUGGUGAUAACCAGAGUAGCAAUCUAGAAAGGAGAGGAGUUCGCAUCCGGCCGUUGAGUCGACCACCUCGUCGAUGCGAGGAAGACCAAAAGGAUCUUUAGGACAGUGUUUGUUGAGAUCGGUGUAAUCAACGCACAUUCUCCAUUCAUUAUUCUUUUUGUGUACAAGAACCGGAUUGGCGAGCCAAUCGGGAUGAUACACCUCUUUUAUGAAUCCGGCUGCUAGAAGCCGUGUUAUUUCUGUCCUAAUAGCCUCCUUUUUGUCACGAGCGAACCGUCGCAGUUUUUGCUUGAUUGGUCUUGCGGUCUUCGAGACGUUUAAGGAGUGCUCGAUCAGGUUCCGUGGGACGCCGGGCAUGUCUGCGGGUUUCCAUGCGAAAACGCUCACGUUGUCCCUUAGAAACCUGACGAGCGCGUCUUCCUAUUUUGGAUCCAGGUUAGCCCCGAUGAGGGCUGUCUUCUCGGGGUUGCCCUCGACCAGCUGCACUUCUUUGUACUCCUUGGAUUUCGAAUUCUUUCUGGCUGUCUCCUGCUCAGGUAAUCGGAGCUGGUCGGGGGGCAGCUGUGCGGCUUGGUUUGCUGUUUCCGCCAUACGGAUUGAGAGGUCAAUUGCCUCGGUGAUCUUGAAACUUUCUUCUUCGCAGGUGUACGCAGUGUAGACGUUGCCUCUGACGGUCAGGACACCCUUCUCCGUGGGCAUCUUAAGCACUAGGUACGAGUAGUGCGGGACUGCCAUGAACUUUGUCAGCGAUGGGCGGCCCAGUAUGGCGUGGUAGGUCCCGUCGAAGUCCGCGACUACGAAGUUGAUGAACUCCGUCCGGAAGUGAUCGGGUGUGCCGAAUUGGACAGGCAAUGUUAUCUGUCCGAGGGGCACCGAACUUUGACCUGGCAAAACCCCCCAGAAUUGGGCGUCGUACGGUUUUAGUUGGGCCGGUGAUAUCUUGAGGGCGGGCAGGCUGUUGCGGAAGAGGAUGUCAAUGGAGCUUCCCCCGUCCACGAGCACGCGCUCGAAUCUGAUGCUGUUGAUGCAAGGAUCGAGAAUUAGUGGGAAACGACCCGGCUCCGGGAUAGCGGCCCACUGGUCCUUCCUGCUGAACGCGAUCUCCCUGUGGGACCAGGCGGGAAAUUUUGGAUCUGCGAUCAGCCCGUCCGUGCUGUCUAUGUUGAGGCAGGCUCUCUUCAACAGCUUUCUUUCUCGCUUGGACUCAGUGGAGACCUUGCCCCCGAAAAUGGAGUGGACCACGUCGGUGGGGCUGACGUAUUGGUGUCGGGGGUCCCUGUCUUGGUCCUCGUCCUCAUCUUCGUGGUCGUGUCCGUCGCGUUUGUUAUUUUUCUUGGCGGUGUCUUCUUGGGCGGCCCGCCGUGUAUAGAUAUUUUUGAGGACGCGGCACUCUUCCAUGGUGUGGUUAGACUUUGGAUGUAGCUGGCACGGUCCCUUCAACGUUUUGUUGUAGUCGUCUUGGUAGUCCCGACGUCCAUUGGGACGUUUGACCGUGUUUACUUCGUGGUCGUAUUCGCGAGGGCGCUUUCCUCUGAAGUCGUCGCGGCUGUCGCGCCGCCGAUCCCAACCCUCUCGGUGAUCGCGGUUGUCGGAGCGACGGUGAUUUCUGUUGUCGUAGCGGCCGCGACCGUCGUCUCGCCGGGAGGGCUGGUCGGUGCCUCUUGCAUCGUCUCGGAUUAGUUUUUCUGCGUCAUCAGCAUCGGCAUAAUUUUUAGCCGUGGCGAGGAGCUCUGCUACCGUUGAUGGACGUUUACGCAACAGCUUGUUCCUCAGCGCUUCAUGGAAACGUAAGCCCUUGAUAAAGGCUGAUAUGGCCUCGUCAUGAGAAAUCUUUGGGAUUUUGAGACGCAUAUCCGAGAAUCGUCGGAUGUAAUCGCGCAGAGGUUCAUUCUUCCUGUCUCUUAUCCUUUCAAGGUCAUAUUUGUUUCCGGGCUGUUCGCAUGUGGCGAUGAAGUUGUCAAUGAAAGCCUGUCGUAGUUCUUCCCAAGAGUCGAAGGAGUCCUCGGGCAAGCCGAGAAGCCACUGAUGGCCAGCCUGGUCGAGGACUAUGGGGAAGUAGUUAGCCAUGACGUGCUCAUCUCCUGCCGCUGAUCGGACGGCGAUUUCGUAGAGGGUGAUCCAGUUCUCUGGAUUUUCCUUGCCGUCGUAUUUUUUAAGUUUUUCGAGCUUGAAAUUUCUGGGCCACACGACCUGGCGGAGGUGUGAGGAGAACUGCCUUAGGCCCGGGGGACCAUGGGUCGCAUCGUACUCAAUGCGGCGCAGGUUUUCGUGGACUGCUCUCUCUGCGGCGCGCCUGUUGAUGCGGUCCCGGGCAUCUUUGGGAGGGAUGUUGUGGCGGAGAUCCCUGUGUUGAUCUUCUUCUUCCUGGCCGCGUACGCGGUUCUGCUGGCGGCGGCCAUCGGCGUCUCGACCACCAUCGUCGCGCCGUGAGUCCCCUCGACGGUUGUCGGGGGAGCGGCUGCGGCGACGCCUGCUGGGCGAGGCCCGGCUACGAUGAGUCUGGUCGGAGGCGGCUUCCGUAUAAGGGACGUCCUGGACUCUCUUAAGCAGAGUUGCUGUCUGUCCCAUCGCGGCGAUCAGGUGUGCUCGGAUACUGGUCCGGACCCCCUGGCAUUCUGGUGUGUCAGGAAGCCGAUCCAGGUUGGCCAUGGCAACAGCCACGUUGGCGCUUGGCGUUUUGUAGACCGGUUGGUCCCCGACCAUGUCAAAGGCGUCGUUGAGGUUACCCGGUGGCGUCUGUUGUUGCUCGUCCGCACGCCGUCGGGCGCGAUCAGCGUUGCGCUGUUCGCGGAGUUGCCUCUGGUCGUCUGUUUCUCCGUCAACGACCGGUUCGUCAGCGCUGACAUUGAAUACAAUAUCCCCUCGCCGGGGGGGGAAUAUCGGGAACCGGUCGAAACCCGGAGGGUGUGAAGGGAAAUCCAGGUCGUAGCCCUCGUCUUCGGUGUUUAUAACCUCGGUGGGGACGGAGCCGGUGCUUGAGUUGGUGCUGGAAACCUGGCCGUUCCGUAGCUCUCGGAUUGUCACCAUGUUGACAUGGUGACGAUUGUUCCUUGUCGGCGACCAGCCCGCUUUGCUGAAAACGGAUUGAACAUGCUGUGAGUAGACAGAGGCCGAGUUAUUCAGGCCGCAAGGAUGGUCUCCCUUUUUGAGCUCGACGGAUCGGCCUGAGGAGGUUGAGGUUAUCGUCAGGGAUGUUCCCAGCCGUUCGUGUGUGGUGACACGAGUUGGCCGGCGGGAUUUCGAAAAAUCCGCUUGAGUGGCUUGGUCGGGCCGGCGCAGAACUCCAUCUAUUAGUUGGGAGACUUCGAGCAGCUUGGAGUCGGCGCGAUCGAGCGCUUGGAGGAGGUCCGAGCAGUCGAUCUCCUUUCCCUUGUAGAGUGGGAACGGCGGCCGGGAGUUUGGUGCCGUCAUGCGUGUGGUCGGAGACGGCGUGAUCUCAGAUUGGAUCUGGAUCUCUUUCGGGACCGUGGUCGGGAAGCCGCCGCUGCACGUCGUCCACGUGAUCUGGCCGACGGUAAACGUGAGGCCUUCGGGCACGGUCGCGGAAGCUGGGAUCGUGACCAUCUUGUUCGCCGGAAAAGUUGCACGCACACCCCCUACCUGGCGCGCCACUGUCGACGAAAGCUAGUCGGCAGUCUACCUUGGGGUAUACCCACGGUAGUAGUUUAUCGGUAGACGGUGCGCAAACUACGAACUCGAUGGUGACGCAAGACACGGACAAGCUUUUUAUCCAGGUUCGGCCGCCGAGUUGGCGUAAUACCUACGUCCUGCGUCUGGGUUGUAUUGGAUUGUGUUGAGAGAUAGUCUACCCUAGGGGGUCCCCUUGCCCCUCCUUAUAUAGUCUGGAGGGCAGGGUUACAGAUCUAGAACUAAUCCUAGCCGGUUACAAUUGCCAUAGAUAAUUCGAUAUCAAUUCCUAUUCUAACCGACUAGAAUCCGGCUUGAUCUCCACGUCCUGUUUCCUUACGCGAAACUCAAGGUUGUCGGAUCAAGCCUUGAACUCGUCUCGUGAUGGGCCAAGCCUCCUGGCCGAAGUCUAGCCGUAAGGGUAUAGGGGUUUAUACCCCCACAAGAGCUAACUGAGCUAUCUGAUCAGAAAAUUCCAACUCAUUGUCACUGGCUGGUGCAAGAAACUCCAUCGGCAACAUGAAGACCAUGUUGACGCCUGCCGAUGGACCUUCCUUCUUAGUGUCUGACGGCUGCCGACUUUCGGAAUUCUCUCCUUUAUUUAGCUCCUCUUGCCUUUCUCGUUGCAAUCUCCUUUUCUGUGUCUUGGUUAAUCCUCGAGGGCACCAUGGAGGAAGUGGCCUUUGCCUUACCGUCGGGCGUCGGUUCUCCCUUGACUCCAUGCAAUGCGUGUUAGCAUCCCUGCAAAAUAUGAAUUCAUCGGGAACCCGCGCAUCAGCCAUUCCUUCGAGCUCCUCUCGGUUCCUGGGAAAAUACUGGACACGGUCACUAAGUCUGUUGUGCCCACUGAAUCUGCCCCCCAGCCGGUCAUGAACUGACACCCUUCCUCUGAUCGGCCCAUUAGCUCGCCGUUCAUCAUCAUAAUAACGCCGAUCGUUCCUAUUGUACCGAUCAUAACCGUUGCAUUCAGGGCAGUCUCUGACAGUAGGAAGCUUGAUAUUUUCCUCCCAACAGUGGAUGAAGAAUGGGCAAUUCCAAUGAUCCCUGUGCCGAUUCCACUCCUGUCGGCGUCUUUCUUCUUCCCAUUGAUAAUCUUCCUGCUGGCGUCGAUACCGAUCUUCCCGUUGUUGCCAUUUUUCUCGAGGCCUCCUAUGAGUUAUGACGACGCCAGAUCGAGGAAGCCUUCCUGAGCUAGCUCCUUCCUGGACCAAGCCCUUACUUCUUGCAUCGGCAGUAGUAACUUGAUGCUGAGGAUCUACCGAUGCACUCUUCUCAGCUGUUUCCGAUGUUAAGACCUUGGCCUUCCCCUUAGCAUCCAACAUGUUUGUCGGGAAAGGAUGUUGGUCUAUCUUCAUCGGCUUCUGGGCUUUGGAACUGUCAAAUUUGAUUCUCCCUGACUCUAUAGCCGAUUGCAGCUGCUGUCUGAAUACUUUGCACUCGUUGGUGUCAUGGGAAGUUGCAUUAUGCCACUUGCAAUAUCUCAUCCUCUUCAACUCUUCUGCCGACGGGAUCACGUGGUUAGGUGACAGUUUGAUUUGACCUUCCUGAAGUAAAAAGUCAAAUAUCCUAUCGGCCUUGGCGGUGUCAAAGGCGAACUUCUCUGGUUCCUUCUGCCCAAAAGGACAAGACAUCGGCUUCUUGUUUUUUACCCACUCGGCCAAACCGAUUACUGGUUCCUCAUCGGAAUCUGAGCUUGUUGCUUCGUCAACAAAUGACACUUUCUUAUUCCAUGCCCUCUUAGGCUCGAAAGGCUUGAUGUCUUGAUCAGAUAUCCUCUGCACCAAAUGACUUAAACUUUCGAACUCUUGGGAGGCAUACUUAUCCCUGAUAUGUGGCAACAAACCUUGGAAAGCCAAAUCGGCUAGCUGCCGAUCAUCCAGAACCAGGCUAUAGCAUUUAUUCUUGACCUCUCGUAUCCUCUGCACAAAUCCCUCAACCGACUCAUCAUUACGUUGCCUCAACUUGACCAAGUCGGUGAUUUUCUUCUCAUGAACCCCCGAGAAGAAGUAUCUGUGGAAUUGCUUCUCUAGAUCGGCCCAAGUAAUUACUGAGUUGGGAGGUAAUGAUAUGAACCAAGUAAAGGCCGAUCCAGACAAUGAUGAUGAAAAUAGACGAACCCUCAAUUCGUCCCUGUUACCAGCCUCUCCACAUUGAAUAAUGAACCUGUUGACAUGCUCCAUGGUUGACGUGUCGUCCUGUCCGGAAAACUUUGUAAAAUCCGGUACCUUGUACCGAUGUGGAAGCGGGAUCAAAUCAUACGCUGGAGGAUACGGUGUCCGAUAAGAAUAAGUGUUGACUUUGGGUUUUAUCCCAAAUUGUUCCCUCAUUACUUCAGCAAUCUUAUCGGCCCAAUACGCAUCGGCAUCUUGCCGAUGAGGCGGCUGCGGAUCUGGCAUUUGGUGGCGAACCUCCACGUGUCUGUUCGGGACGUGACCUGUAUGGAACAUUGUAUUGGUCACCUGUCCUCCAAUCUGCGGACUACCAAACUGCUGUCCACCGAUUGGCUGUCCUCCGAGUUGCUGUCCAAAAUUUAUUGGCUGGUUGGGAAUUCCCUGACCUUGGAACCUGGGAUAAACCUGCCCUUGCUGGAACCCUGUAGUCUGAUAACCCUGCUGGGGCGAUUGUGGAAGGGUUUGCUGUCCAAGCCAUCCAUUGUUAGCGUUCAUCGGCAUAGGUGCUGCCGAUGAUUGGUAAUUGGGUACCGUCGUCGAAUUGACAUAUCCCGACUGGGCCAUCGGUCUCUGUUGCAUCAGCAUUGACUCUGCCGAUGCGUUGGGCAUCUGGAAUAUUGAAUCUUGAGGAUUCCCAGUGUAAGGCCGCGAGGUAGUAGUUGUGGUAUACCGAGGACUCUGGUUCACCGGCGCAUUGGGAGGUGCCGAUGUCAUAGGAGUUUUGCCCCUCAUGUCAGUUAUUUGUGAUGUUCCCGGCGUCAACUCUGGAGGCAUACCAUAACCCCACCAGUUGGGAGGAAGAUUUAACCCUGACAUUGCCGAUGCCAACAUAUCUGUUGUCAGUUUAUGCUGCCCAACUGAAAUUUGUGGGUUGGUUGCCAUCGGCAUAGAUAGUGCACCAGUAGUCCCCAAUGUACUUGGAGGGACGGCAGACUGUGCACUUACAUUCGUCAAGACAGCCGAUGGAGCCGUGACCUCUGGUGCCGUUGGCUGAUGAUGGGAGGGCCCCACAUAAUCUGGCGGGAUUUGUCCUUCCUUGAAAGUUCUUGCCACGGCGUUGAAAACCGUAUUAGACAGUACGCCAGCCUGGUUAAUCAACGCUCGAUUGAUGGCAUUGUCUACCAUGUCUUGAAGCUUGCCAGGGUUGGCGUCGAAGGUGACCUGCCGUGGUGCCGGCAGUGCAUCUUUCUGGACCACUUCGCCGCUCCUGUUUAUGCUGAAAGACUUCAGGCGCUGCUGCUUGAAUUCUUCCAUGGCUUGGGCAAUAGCUUGCUUUUGCUCAUCCUUGAGGUUGGCCUCCGUCACGGGGAUGACGUUCUCUUGAUCGAGGUCGGAGAUCGACAUGUUGAUCUUGAUCUUGAAUCUGUCCCACUGGGCGUGCCAAAAGAUGUGUUGAUGCAAAACUGAUCUGCAAACACAAAGGGCUAAUACCCGAUUCAAACGUUAAGGCGUGCCAGCCGAUUUGACCUUGCUAUCGGCAAAGGUGAUAACUCGAAUACUUUAGUCCUGACAACAGCGAUGCGCCCGGAUGUCACGGCUAAGAGGUACUCACGCGGAACUCGAGAACACGCCGAGCUUAAGUCGACGAAUUCCUAAGAACUCGUAAUAAAAGGAAAAAAAAUAUGACGAAGUCGUCGAAAAGUAGAUGCUGGAAUAUGAGUAAAAACGUGUGUUUGAUUGAUUUCUUGAUAUAUUGAUUACAAGGUCCUAGGGUUUAUAUUUAUACCCUGCUCAAAGAGCUACAACCAGACACGAUUAGAAUUCGAAUUCCAAAUUACACGGAAUCCGUAUACAAAACGAUGCAAAUAACUAAGGAAAUAAUAAAACUAUCCUUCGUGACAAACCGAAACUCCUCCAGAUGACAACUGGCAGCUUCCGGACUCCUCCUUCGCGUCAUCGGCAAUCCCCUUGCCAUAGUCAUCGGCAGAUCUUUUUACCCAGCCAUCGGCACCAUAUUACUGCCUGUGGACUUAGUCACAUUCAACUUCUCCCUCAUCGGCAACCAUCCUCAUCAGCAACCCGCAUUGUACUGCCACCCUAUCCUGCCAUCCUGGACACGUGCCCAAAAAUGGUGUCAACAAUAAUACAAGAUAAUAGCAAGACUUAAAAUUUUCUCAGCAAACCGUCUUUCUCCCUCGCAGCGGCGCCAAAAAUGCUUGUUGAUAUUUGUUAACGCCAUCAGGAAAUGAUCCGCAAGCGCACGGAUAUCGGUGAGCACUUCACCCGGGAGGUUAUCCAGAGUAUCGUAUUUAUAUUUUUACCACUGGGAGAAAGCAUGCAUCUGACUAACCAAAUCUAUUGCUACUACCCUUUAGGCUACAAAGAAUGUGACUCGAUGUGAGCAAUGUGUAGAGAAGACUACAACUGUAAUCUUGUUCUAACCUUGGUAAGGAUGAUCUACUGUUCUAUUGGGGAGGCUCACAGAAUCUAGACACCACAGAGGAUGUUCGACCCGCACCUAUAAACCCUAUCGAUCCUGCUAACGGGAUAUGGGCUACAAAGGUAACUCGAAAAUGUCACGUUCCUUGUUACUACCAUGGUCAAGCUAGUCAGGGGAUAUCUAUGAGUAUCCUAGCCCAAACACCACGUUUACGCUAGAGAUGAUUACUCUAAACUCUACGCGAAGAGAUCAAAGUAAACUCAUAAACCAAAGAACAAUGAAACAAGAACUUACUAGAAUUUAGAAGUCGAAAUAUUGAAGAAUCCUAGGAGCAAGCCUCGGGUUAGGAGACUUGAUCCCGUAGGUACAACCUCGAAUAGACACCGACAGACCGAGCUUCCUCCGAUCUACACCUCCACUAUAUCUCUCUCAAUCUAGUAGAACUAGUCUACUCUCACAUUGGAUGCUAAGCUCUAAGUCUAUGUAGAGGAAAGGUUAUCCUUCGAGGGCACCUCUCAACUCUAUAAUGAACUUGUUCUCCUCCAGAGGCCAGGGGGUCUGCUUAUAUAGUCCCCUCAGGUGAACGUGGGUCGUCGGAUGAAACCGACAUUGAUUGAAUGGUUAUCCUUGAUCAUUUAGGUCGGUGGAGCAUAAUCUGCGAGAUUGAACGUGACUGGGCACAACAACUGGGCGGGCGCCCAAGGGGGGAGGGUGGGCACCUUGCCCCUGGGCCCGCUUGGCCUCCUGUUCGUUCCCGUGGCUUCUGGAGUCUUUUAGAUGAUAGAAAAUUGCGCGGCAUGUUAAUAUCUCUAUGUAAUCCUCACAUGUGGGCCUUUCUUCCAUAUUUCCUGAUAACCCCCUGCAAAAAUAGAUAAACAACAAAACUCGUGGAAUUCUGUCAGAUCAAACCCUAAGUCUGGGUGUUGGAUGCAUUUGGAUCCUUUUCUUUAUUUAUUUGAUGAUUAUAUUUGGUACUUAAGGACCGUCAAUAGUACCAUAUAAGCAUCAAAUUUAUUUGAUUUUCAUGAAUGAUCCUAAGACAUGUAAGGAAUGACUAGAUGCACUAAACAAGUCCUUAGCAUAGGAUGGAUGACAUGUCAAACAAUUUUACCUUACUUUGCUCGAAGGAGAGGCAUGUCAUAUAAUGGGGGUGCAUCAACACAUAUUUGAGAAGUCAAGUAUGUUCAAUUCAUUCCUUAGCUUGCAAAAUCUCUUCUCAUCAAGUGGCUUGGUGAAUAUAUCGACAAGUUGAUCAUCGGUGCCUAUACUCUCAAUACAAAUGUCCCCUUUUUGUUGAUGAUCUCUUAUGAAGUGAUGGCAGACAUCUAUGUGCUUUGUUCUUGAGUGUUGAACCAGGUUGUUGGUGAGCUUCACGGCACUCUCAUUAUCACAUAGCAAUGGCACUUGCUUGAAGUUGAUUCCAAAAUGUUUCAAUGUUGCCUUCAUCCAUAGGAUUUGUGCACAACAACUACUGGCCGCAAUGUACUCCGCUUCGGCGGUUGAUAGUGCAACACUAUUUUGUUUCAUGGAUGACCAUGAGACAAGUGAUCUUCCUGAUAGUUGACAUGUGCCCGAUGUGCUUCUUCUCUCAACUUUGCAUCCUGGAUAGUCUGAAUCAGAAUAUCCAAUAAGUUCAAACUUUGCACCUUUGGGAUACCACAAACUAACAUUUUGUGUAUGCUUAAAGUACCUCAAUAUUCUCUUUGUGGCUUUCAAGUGACUUUCUCUUGGUGAGGCUUGGAAUCUUGCACACAUGCAUACACUAAACAUGACAUCGGGUCUUAAUGCGGUCACAUAGAGUAGGCUUCCAAUCAUAGACCAAUACAACUUUUGAUCCACCAUAUUUCCACUUGUAUCACUAUCUAAGCUUUCAUUUGUUCCCAUCGGAGUGCUAAUUGAUUUUGCAUCAUCCAUGCCAAACUUCUUGAGCAUGUCUUUUAUGUACUUGCCUUGACUCACAAAUGUGCCACUUUUCAAUUGCUUGAUUUGAAGACCAAGGAAGUAACUAAGCUCUCCAAUCAUUGAGAUCUCAAACUCAUUAGCCAUCAUGUUUCCAAACUCCUCACAAAAUUCUUGAUUGGUUAAUCCAAAUAAGAUAUCAUCAACAUAAAUUUGCAACACAAACAAGUCCUUGCCAAUCUUCUUGGUGAAGAGAGUGGUGUCACCCUUGCCCAUCUUGAAACCUUUAGAGAGUAAGAAAUCUCUCAAUCUCUCAUACCAUGCUCUAGGUACUUGCUUCAAACUAUACAAUGCCUUUCUUAGCUUGUAAACAUGGUUGGGUUUCAUGUCAUCUUAAAAUCGGUUGGUUGCUCAACAUAUACUUCUUCAUUGAUAUAGCCAUUGAGAAAUGCACUUUUCACAUCCAUUUGAUAUAACUUGAUGUUAUGAGCACAAGCAUAGGCCAACAAGAUUCUAAUUGCUUCCAAUCUUGCAACCGGAGCAUAUGUUUCACCAAAGUCAAGACCUUCAACUUGAGUAUAGCCUUGUGCUACCAAUCUUGCUUUGUUUCUUACCACUAUCCCAUCUUGAUCUUGUUUGUUGUUAAAGACCCAUCUAGUACCAAUGACAUUGUGAUCACUAGGCCUCUCAACUAAUUCCAUACUUGAUUUCUUUUGAAGUUGUUAAGCUCUUCAUGCAUAGCAUUAACCCAAUCAAAAUCUCUCAAUGCUUCUUCAAUCUUCUUUGCCUCAAUGUGAGACACAAAGGAGAAAUGCUCACAAAAUGAUGCUAGUCUUGAUCUAGUUUGCACUCCUCUUUGAAUGUCACCAAUGAUAUGAUCCAAUGGAUGAUCUCUUGCAAUAUUUGUUGGUUGGAGUAUUUGCACUUGAUUGCUUGCACUUGGUUGAUCCCGAUAUGAUGUACUAGCUUGUUGAUCUUGCACUUGUGUACCAACUAUACUAGAUUGAUUUUGAUCAUAAGAACCACUAGCCUGCACAUUAGAGGUAGGAAGCACUUGAUCUUUGUCAUCUUCAACAUCAAUCACCUCUCUAGGCCUUAAAUCACCAAUAUCCAUGUUAUUCAUUGCAUCGGCCAAUUGAGUGCCUCUCACAUCAUCUAGAUUCUCAUCUUCUUCUUGAGAGUCAUUGGUUUCAUCAAACUCAAUAUCAUGCACUUCCUCAAGAGUACCACUAACCAAAUUCCAAAAGUCUAUAAGCUUUGCUAGUAGUGAAGUAACCAAGCAGGAAACCUUCAUCACAUUUCUUUUCAAAUUUGCUCAAUCUAUUGCCUUUCUUCAAUAUGUAUCAUUUGCAACCAAAAACCCAAAAGUAUGCAAUGUUGGGCUUUCUUCCAUUCAAGAGCUCAUAUGGUGUCUUCUCCAUCAUUGGGUUACAAUAGAGUCGGUUGCUAUAGUAGCAAGCCGUGUUGAUUGCUUCGGCCCAAAGAGAAUGACUCACAUUGUAUUCACUCAACAUUGAUCUUGCCAUGUCAAUCAAGGUUCUAUUCUUCCUCUCAACAAGACUAUUUGAUUGUGCAGUAUACUUGGCCGAGAAUUGAUGCCUAAUACCAAAUUCAUCACAAAGCUCAUCAACUCUUGUGUUCUUGAAUUCACUUCCAUUGUCGCGUCUUACUUUCUUGAUGGUUGUUUCAAACUCAUUGUGUAUUCUCUUGACAAAUGUUUUGAAAAUGGCAAAAGCAUCACUCUUGUCACUGUUGACGGUCCUUGAGUAUCAAAUAUAAUCAACAAAUAAAUAGAGAAAAGGAUCCAAAUGCAACUGACAUCCAGACUUAGGGUUUUAUCUGACAGAAUUCCACGAGUUUUGGUGUUUGUCUAUUUUCUGUAGGGGGUUAUCAGGAAAUAUGGAGGAAAGGCCCACACGUCGGGUUUACAUAGAGAUAUUAACGUGCCGCGCAAUUAUCUAACAUCUAGAAGAGUCCAGAAGCCAUGGGAACGAACGGGAGACCGAACAGGCCUGGGGGCACGGCGCUCGCCCUGGUCUAAGGACCAAUCAGCUUCAACUUCGCGGAUCAUGCUCCACCGACUUGAAGGAUCAAGAAAAAUUGUGCGAUUAAUGUCAGUUUGAUCCGACGGCCCACAUUCACUUGGAAGGACUAUAUAAGCAGACCCCCUGGCCCCAGGAGGAGAGUACCUCUAAACCCUAAUUCAUUAUCCAUCUCGAGAGAAGAAGCCUCUGAUCAAGCCCUAGAGCCACCACAUCAAUAGAUCUCUAGUUUAGCAUAGCUACAUAGGAUUAGAACUAGAAGGAGUCAAUCUUCGAUUGGUUUCUGGAUCUGUCAAGAGGAUUCUUGGUAAUUUCUCUAUUGUUCUUCAAUUGUUCAUCUUUGUUCUUCAAUAUUAUGUAUAUGACUUUGUUCUACUUCAAUAUAUUGAUUAUGACUUUGCUCUACUUGUUUGUAUUUGCAAUUAUAUUGUUCUUAGUUUAUCAUAGUUAUAUGGUUGGCUUAGUUAGAUUGGAAUUAUAUACAUGUUUAGGAUCAUAUAUCGUUUAUUCUUGUGUACAGUGGGUAAAUGAUAAGUAUUGUGUAGGCGUGGUGCCUAUACCGUAUUUAUCUGUGAUUGUACUCUAUAUGUCAGAUCGCGGGGUAGUUCGUGGUAGUGACAGCUCCAUUAAUUCUUAUAUAGUCCCCCUCUCAUGUAUAGGGCUGGCAGAGCAACAUUAUUACACGUGAGUGAUUGCUAUGUUUCUCAUCUUCCUUGAUAAUAUCACUAUGCAUGGGCGUAGUCCUGUCUCUCAAUGAUUGCCAAGUAUAAUUGCACUAACUAUGAUAUGCUAGUGUUGACACCGUUUUUGGGCACGUGUCUAGGAUGGCAGGAUAAGGUGGCAGUACGAUGUUUACAAAGUGGGUUGCCGAUGAGGGAGAAGUUGAACGUGACUAAGUCCACAGGCAGUAAUAUGGUGCCGAUGGCUAGAUAAGAAAGUCUGCCGAUGACUAUGGCAAAGGGUCUGCCGAUGAUGCAAAGAGGGAGUCCGGAAGCUGCCGGUCGUUAUGUGGAGGAGUUUCGGUUUGUCACGAGGGAUAGUUUUGUUAUUUCCUUAAUUAUUUGCAUCGUUUUGUAUAUGGAUUCCGUGUAAUUUGGAAUUCGAAUUCUAAUCGUGUCUGGUUGUAGCUCUUUGAGCAGGGUAUAAAUAUAGACCCUAGGGCCUUGUAAUAAAAAAUCAAUCAAUCAAUGAAUCAAACACACGUUUUUACUCAUAUUCCAGCAUUUACUUUUCGACGACUUCGUCAUACUUUUUCCUUUUGUUACGAGUUCUUAGGAAUUCGUCGACUUAAGCUCGGCGUGUUCUCAAGUUCCUCGUGAGUACCUCUUAGCCGUGACAUCCGGGCGCAUCGCUGUUGUCAGGACUAAAGUAUUCGAGUUAUCACCUUUGCCGAUAGCAAGGUCAAAUCGGCUGGCACGCCUUAACGUUUGAAUCGGGUAUUAGCCCUUUGUGUUUGCAAAUUAGUUUUGCAUCAACACAUCUUUUGGCACGCCCGGUGGGACAGGAUUCAAGAUCAAGAUCAACAUGUCGAUCUCUGACCUCGAUCAAGAGAACGUCAUCCCCGUGACGGAGGCCAACCUCAAGGAUGAGCAGAAGCAAGCUAUUGCCCAAGCCAUGGAAGAGUUCAAGUAGCAAUGCCUGAGGUCUUUCAGCAUAAACAGGAGCGGCGAAGUGGUCCAGAAAGAUGCACUGCCGGCACCACGGCAGGUUACCUUUGACGCCAAUCCUGGCAAGCUUCAAGAUAUGGUUGACAAUGCCAUCAAUCGAGCGUUGAUUAACCAAGCUGGUGUACUGUCUAAUACGGUUUUCAAUGCCGUGGCAAGAACUUUCAAGGAAGGACAAAUCCCACCAGAUUAUGUGGGCCCCUCCCAUCAUCAGCCAACGGCACCAGAGGUCACGGCUCCAUCGGCUGCCUUGACGACUGCAAGUGCACAAUCUGCCGUCCCUCCAAGUACAUCGGGGACUACUGGUGCACUAUCUAUGCCGAUGACAACCAACCCACAAAUUUCAGUUGGGCAGCAUAAACUGACAACAGAUAUGUUGGCAUCGGCAAUGUCAGGGUUGACUCUUCCUCCCAACUGGUGGGGUUACGGUAUGCCUCCAGAGUUGACACCGGGAACAUCACAAAUAACUGACAUGAGGGGCAAAACUCCUAUGACAUCGGCACCUCCCAAUGCGCCGGUGAACCAGAGUCCUCGGUAUACCACAACUACUACUGCAAGGCCUCACACUGGAAAUCCUCAAGAUUCAAUGUUCCAGAUGCCCAACGCAUGGGCAGAGUCAAUGCUGAUGCAACAGAGGUCUAUGGCUCAGUCGGGGUAUGUCAAUUCAACGACGGUACCCAAUUACCAAUCAUCGGCAGCACCUAUGCCGAUGAACGCUAAUAAUGGAUGGCUUGGACAGCAAGUCUUUCCACAAUCGCCCCAUCAGAGUUACCAGACUACAGGGUUCCAGCAAGGGCAGGUCUAUCCCAGGUUCCAAGGUCAGGGGAUUCCCAACCAGCCAAUGAAUUUUGGACAGCAACUCGGAGGACAGCCAAUCGGUGGACAGCAGUUUGGUGGUCCGCAGAUUGGAGGACAGGUGAUCAAUACAAUGUUCCGUGCAGAUCACGUCCCGAACAGACACGUGGAGGUUCGCCACCAAGUGCCAGAUCCGCAGCCGCCUCAUCGGCAAGAUGCCGAUGCAUAUUGGACCGAUAAGAUUGCUGAAGUAAUGAGGGAACAAUUUGGGAUAAAACCCAAAGUCAACACUUACUCUUAUCGGACACCGUAUCCUCCCGCGUAUGAUUUGAUCUCGCUUCCACAUCGGUACAAGGUACCGGAUUUUACAAAGUUUUCCGAGCAGGACGACACGUCAACCAUGGAGCAUGUCAACAGGUUCAUCAUUCAAUGUGGAGAGGCUGGUAACAGGGACGAAUUGAGGGUUCGUCUAUUUUCAUCAUCAUUGUCUGGACCGGCCUUUACUUGGUUCAUAUCAUUACCUCCCAACUCAGUAAUUACUUGGGCCGGUCUAGAGAAGCAAUUCCACAAAUACUUCUUCUCGGGGGUUCAUGAGAAGAAGAUCACCGACUUGGUCAAGUUGAGGCAACGUAAUGAUGAGUCGGUUGAGGGUUUUGUGCAGAGGAUACGAGAGGUCAAGAAUAAAUGCUAUAGCUUGGUUCUGGAUGAUCGGCAGCUAGCCGAUUUGGCUUUCCAGGGUUUGUUGCCACAUAUCAGGGAUAAGUAUGCCUCUCAGGAGUUCGAAAGUUUAAGUCAUUUGGUGCAGAGGAUUUCUGAUCAAGACAUCAAGCCUUUCGAGCCUAAAAGAGCAUGGAAUAGGAAAGUAUCAUUUGUCGAUGAAGCAACAAGCUCAGAUUCUGAUGAAGAAUCAGUAAUCGGCUUGGCAGAGUGGGUAAAAAACAAGAAGCCGAUGUCUUGUCCUUUUGGGCAGAAGGAACCAGAGAAGUUUGCUUUUGACACCGCUAAGGCUGAUAGGAUAUUUGACUUUCUACUUCAGGAAGGUCAGAUCAAAGUGUCACCUAACCAUGUGAUCCCAUCGGCAGAAGAGUUGAAGAGGAUGAGAUAUUGCAAGUGGCAUAAUGCAACUUCCCAUGACACCAACGAGUGCAAAGUAUUCAGACAGCAGCUGCAAUCGGCUAUAGAGUCAGGGAGAAUCAAGUUUGACAGUUCCAAAGCCCAGAAGCCGAUGAAGAUAGACCAACAUCCUUUCCCGACAAACAUGUUGGAUGCUAAGGGGAAGGCUAAGGUCUUAACAUCGGAGACAGCUGAGAAGAGUGCAUCGGUAGAUCCUCAGCAUCAAGUUACUACUGCCGAUGCAAGAAGUAAGGGCUUGGUCCAGGAAGGAACUAGCUCAGGAAGGCCUCCUCGAUCUGGUAUCGUCAUAACUCAUAGAAGGCCUCGAGAAAAUUGGCAACAACGGGAAGAUCGGUAUCGGCGCCAGCAGGAAGAUUAUCGACGGGAAGAAGAAAGACGCCGACAGGAGUGGAAUCGGCACAGGGAUCAUUGGAAUUGUCCAUUCUUCAUCCAUUGUUGGGAGGAAAAUAUCAAGCUUCCUACUGUCAGAGACUGCCCUGAGUGCAACGGUUAUGAUCGGUACGAUAGGAUCGAUCGGCAUUAUCAUGAUGAUGAACGGCGAUUUAAUGGGCCGAUCAGAGGAAGGGUGUCAGUUCAUGACCGGCUGGGGGGCAGAUUUAGUGGGCACGACAGACUUAGUGACCGUGUCCAGUAUUUUCCCAGGAACCAAGAAGAGCUCGAGGAAAUGGCUGAUGCGCGGGUUCCCGAUGAAUUCAUAUUUUGCAGGGAUGCUAACACGCAUCGUAUGGAGUCAAGGGAGAACCGACGCCCGACGGCAAGGCAAAGGCCACUUCCUCCAUGGUGCCCUGGAGGAUUAACCAAGACACAGAAAAGGAGAUUGCAACGUGAAAGGCAAGAAGAGCUAAACAAGGGAGAGAACUCUGGAAGUCGGCAGCUGUCAGACACUAAGAGGGAAGGUCCAUCGGCAGGCGUCAACAUGGUCUUCAUGUUGCCGAUGGAGUUUCUUGCACCAGCCAGUGAUGAUGAGUUGGAAUUUUCUGAUCAGAUAGCUCAGUUGGCUCUGGAUCCGAUGACGGCUAUCUUUGAGAAACCUGCCGAUGACGAGAGGCAGCAUCUUAAAGCUCUGUUCCUCAAAGGAAGGGUUGAUGGGCAGCCAAUGACCAAGAUCCUAGUUGAUGGUGGAGCUGCUAUUAAUAUUAUGCCGUAUGCAGUAUAUCGGAAGCUUGGGAAAGGGGAUCACGAUUUGACCAAGACCGAUAUGAUGCUCAAAGACUUUGAAGGAAACGUGUCUCCAGUCAAGGGGGCGAUAUGUGCAGAGUUGAUCAGCGGAAAAGGUGCUUACAACUUAUUGUUGGGAAGAGAUUGGAUUCAUGCCAAUUGUUGUAUCCCAUCUACAAUGCAUCAAUGCUUGGUUCAGUGGGUAGGUGACAAGAUUGAGAUUGUCCCAGGAGAUUCUUCUUAUGUUAUCGCAUCGGCAGAAGCGGAUACUUACGAAAGGACCAGGUGCAUUUCAGGAGAAGUUUGGGAGAAAGAUUUUCUCAAAGUUGCCGAUUAUGAGAUUCCACCGAUCCAAGCAGUCGGUUCUGACGACGGUUUUUAAUGGAUAGAUUCGCCGAUGAUGGAAAAUUAGGCCAGGGAUUCACAUCGGCCGAUGAUUUGGUAGAAGUAGAUAUAGGUAGUGGUGAUAAGCCUAGGCCUACUUUUAUUAGUGCUAAAUUAGAUCCUGAGAGUAAGCAACAAUUGACUAGUUUGUUAAAGGAAUAUAAAGAUUGCUUUGCUUGGGAUUAUACCGAGAUGCCUGGUUUAGACCGAUCAAUUGUUGAACAUCGGUUACCCAUCAAGUCUGGAUUUCGGCCAUAUCAGCAACCAGCCCGCCGAUGUAAUCCUAACAUUCUACCUGAUAUUAAGGCCGAAAUCACCAAACUUAUUGAAGCUAAGUUUAUUCGGCAGUGUCGGUAUGCCGAGUGGAUUUCCAAUGUUGUUCCGGUUUACAAGAAGAACGGGAAGCUUCGGGUGUGCAUUGAUUUCAGGAAUCUCAAUAAAGCUACGCCGAUGGAUGGAUACCCAAUGCCUGUCGCCGAUCUACUGGUUGAUGCUGUGGCUGGUCAUCAGGUCAUCAGCUUCAUGGAUGGUAAUGCAGGUUACAAUCAAAUAUUCAUGGCGGAGGAGGAUAUUCCAAAAACCGCAUUCAGGUGUCCUGGUCAUGUUGGGCUAUUUGAAUGGAUAGUCAUGACUUUUGGGUUGAAGAAUGCUGGUGCUACUUAUCAAAGGGCUAUGAAUUUUAUAUUUCAUGAGUUCAUCAGCAAGCUCGUGGAGAUUUAUAUUGAUGAUGUGGUGGUUAAGUCUGGAGAUUUCUCAAAGCAUCUUGCCGAUUUACAAAAAGUGUUAGAGUGCACAAGGAAGCAUGGAUUGAAGAUGAAUCCCAACAAGUGUGCAUUUGGUGUAUCGGCAGGGCAGUUUCUUGGUUUCAUGGUACAUCAGAGGGGUAUUGAAAUUAGUCGAAGAUCUAUUGAUGCCAUCAAUAAAAUAGUGGCCCCUACCAACAAAACCGAGCUCCAAUCCUUGAUCGGCAAGGUAAAUUUUAUCAGGAGAUUUAUAUCGAAUUUGUCUGAUAGGAUUCGUGCUUUCAGUCCUCUUCUUAAAUUGAAAGCCGAUCAAGAGUUUAUUUGGGGAGAAGAACAGCAGUUGGCUCUGGAUGAAAUCAAGAAGUAUCUAGUAAAUCCUCCAGUUCUAGUUCCACCUCAACAAGGGAAGCCCUUCAGAUUGUAUUUAUCUACCGAUGGAUCGGUUAUCGGUUCAGCUUUAGUUCAAGAAUUUGAAGGGAAAGAAAGGGUAAUUUAUUAUUUGAGUAGGAGGUUGAUUGAUGCUGAAACCAGGUAUUCGGCCAUUGAGAAACUAUGCUUAUGCUUAUAUUUUUCAUGUAUCAAGCUGAGACAUUACCUGUUAUCGGCCGAAUGCACUGUUGUUUGCAAAGAUGACGUGGUCCGAUACAUGCUAUCUAUGCCGAUUAUGAGUGGUAGGAUCGGUAAAUGGAUUUUAGCGCUGUCGGAGUUCGAUUUGCGUUACGAAUCGGCUAAGGCAGUCAAAGGGCAGAUUAUGGCCGAUUUUGUGACUCAGCAUUGCGGUCUAGUGGAAACCUUGGAAAUUGUACCCUGGACGCUCUUCUUUGAUGGGUCUACCUGUGACCGGGGGGCAGGAAUCGGCAUUGUAUUAGUUUCCCCUAAGGGGAGGAAGUAUGAGUUUUCCUUGCCGAUUGUUGCCACAUCAACAAAUAAUCAGGCUGAGUAUCAGGCUCUGAUCAAGGGAUUGGAGUUGUUAAGAGAAGUUCGUGCUGAUGCUGUUGAAAUAUUCGGGGAUUCUAUGUUGGUUAUAAAUCAAUUGGCCGGAAGCUAUGAAUGCCGAAGUGAAGUUCUCAUAACUUAUUUCGAGAGAAGUAUGCAACUGUUAAAGGAAUUCAAGGAUUUCCGAUUGGAGCAUGUUCCCUGAUUGCAUAAUGAAGACGCUAAUCGGUUAGCUCAGCAUGCCUUGGGAUAUCAGCCAAUGAUUAAUGCGACAUCGGCAGUCGGUGCCGGUGAUUGGAGGAAAGAAAUUAUUGAUUAUCUAAAAGAUCCAUCCAAAAAAGUUGAAAGACGGGUUCGAUUUCAAGCAACCAAGUAUGUGCUCCUUGAAAAUGAAUUGUAUUAUCGAACUAUCGACGGAAUUCUUCUCCGAUGCUUGGGUGAUGAUGAAGCUAGAAGUUUGAUGGGGGAAAUCCAUGAAGGAGUGUGUGGAGCGCAUCAGUCAGCUUUUAAGAUGAAGUGGACGAUUCGAAGGAAUGGAUAUUUUUGGCCAACCAUACUUGAAGAUUGUUUUAAAUAUUUCAAGGGAUGUCAAGGUUGUCAAAAGUUUGGUAAUAUCCAGAGAACACCCGCAUCGGCUAUGAAUCCUAUAAUAAAGCCUUGGCCGUUCCGGGGAUGGGCCAUCGAUCUAAUCGGCCAGAUUUAUCCACCAUCUAGCAAAGGGCAUAAGUUCAUUCUAGUUGCCACUGACUAUUUCAGUAAGUGGGUUGAAGCUAUUCCUUUGAAGAAAGUCACAUCGGCCAAUAUGAUUGAUUUUGUGAAGGAGCAUAUUAUUUACCGAUUUGGGAUUCCCCAAAUGAUUACUACCGAUCAGGGCACCAUGUUCACAUCGGGGGAGUUCGAUGAAUUCGCAAUCGGUAUGGGAAUUAAAGUGCUGAAUUCUUCUCCUUAUUAUGCUCAAGCCAAUGGGCAGGCCGAAGCGUCUAACAAAGGAAUUAUCAAGCUUAUUAAACGAAAGAUUGAAGAAAAUCCUAAGCGGUGGCAUACAUUAUUAAAUGAAGCAUUGUGGUCUUAUCGGAUGGCUUGUCAUAGAUCGACCAAAGUAUCACCCUAUCAAUUGGUGUAUGGACAUGAUGCAGUGUUGCCUUGGGAAAUUAAGGCCGGAUCUAGGCGAUUAUCUUUUCAAGAUCAAUUAACUUCCGAUGGUUAUGCCACUUUGAUGACCGAUGAAUUGGACGAUCUAGCAGGGCAUCGGUUAAAAGCUUUAAUGAGUAUAGAAGAAAAUAAGAAGAGAGUUGCUAGAUGGUAUGAUAAGAAAGUGAAGGCUAAAGAUUUUGCCGAUGGGGAUUUGGUAUGGAAAUUAAUUUUACCAAUUGGGACCAAAAGUUCGAAGUUUGGAAAGUAGAAACCCUCGAAGGAAUUGAAUUUCCCAGAGCAUUAAACGGCAAAUAUUUAAAGAAGUACUACCCCAGUAUAUGGGUCGAUGCAUAGAAGUUUAGGUGCCGAUAACACUCCUAUCGGCUGGAUCCAAAUGCUUGGGGACAAAACUUGGUGUUUCAAAAGUUUAGGUGCCGAUAACAGUCCUAUCGGCUAGACUAAAAGCUGAGGAAGCAGGAAAGCGCAGAUAUAAUGCCGAUGGAAACUCUAUGUGCUGGAUUGCCGAUAUAGCGCGUAGCCGAAUUUGGUUGGCUGCUUCUAUCUCCUUGAUGUCAUCAUCGGCAGAACCUUCCAUCGGCUUCAGCUUCUUCUUCAGUUGAAGUGCCUUGCGACCAUGAGCAUUUCGCUCGUGCUCAAGAAGCCUGAUGGUCUCUGGCAAUUGGCUCUCUUCCUAUUGGGCUUGGGACAGAGCGUUCUCUACUUCCUUGAGUUCCGCCAACAGGGAUUCUUUUCUUGCCGAUAGAUCGGAUAUCUUCUGCUUCAGCGCGUCUCUAGAAGAUCUCAGGAUACCGAUGUUCUUGUGCUUCUCAUCGGUCAAAAGCUUCUCUUUCCUCAUUUCAUCGAAGAGUUGAGUCUGAGCGGCUCUAUCGGCAAGACGCCGAGAAGCUCUCUGGUACUGCAGCUGGCGACUCUCCAGAUGAGCGGCUUGGAACAGGAUUUCUUCAACAUCGGCUGGGAUUUGGCCUCUGAGAGUUCUGAACAGGGUCUUGGUAGGGUCGGAAUCAUCAACCAAUUGUGCUGUGUCCUGGUGAAGGAGAGCUGACAAUUCUUCCAGCCUGACCCUGAUCUCUGCCGAUGUGAUGCCGACCGUCUGAGAAGAGCUUGCUUCUUCACCUUCUUCUUCAGAGAGAUCGAUGGCGAAGGAGAACAGGCUAUCGGGAGAAUCUUGUUCCUGGGAGGGAAAGCAAAAUUAGCUCAUACUCAGAGAAUCGGCAAAUAGUGCUAAUGGUAAACGGUGACUUACUUGCUUCAAGGCGAUCUCUUGUCUUUGACUGAGAAGUGCUGACGGAGCUGCAGGCUGAUCGGCCAAAGAUGCCGAUGGAGCUACAGGUUGAUCGGCUGAGAUUGCCGAUGGAACGAUAUCAACUGAAAGAAGACAAAAGGAGUUAUGAGACUAAAUAAGAAUAAGUUCAUCGGUAGCGAUAUUGUUAAAGUAUGUUACCUGGAGGAGGGACAACGGUUGUCUGAACUGGGAGAACUGCCGAUGGUAUAACUGGACCCACCGGGCCAGUUGUUUGUUCACCCAUGUCAGCUGAUGUAUCUUCUGUUUGAGAUCCUUCCUGUUGGGGUUCUUCUAUCUGUGGUGCUUCCUGCAUAGGUGGGGGAGAUGGUGCUUGCUGUGGCUGGGCUUCUGGAGAAGAAGGAGAAGACUCCACCGGAAUUGGAGAUACCGGAGGAGGAGGGGGAAUUGCUACCUUCUGGCGCUUUGUUCCAGUCUUAGCACCCGUGGUGCCCUUUCUCUUGGGUUGGCUAGACUGGGGGGCAUCAGUACUCUCACGCCUGGCUUUCGCCGAUGCGCCGGUUUGCUGCAAUAAUGAACAAGAGUUUAUAAGCAUAAAUAUAGCCGAUAUAAAGAUAGUCAGCAUAAAGGAAAAGAUUUGACAAAUUGCCUUGAAAGCCCGCGCAAGAGUGGGAGCAGCUACUGUUGGUGAUGUCUGGGUUCUUCUGGUGGUGACUUUCCUGAGGCGUACACCCCGAUGCACGAUGGAAGCUAGAGUGGGAGCAUUGUGGCCGAUUGAGGAAAUCGGGCCUGAUGGAAACAAGUCGAUCGGCCUGCCACUCCUGCUAACCAAUGGAGGAAUAUUGUCAACCUGCAAAAGGAAUACAAGGGUAAGCUGCCGAUGGAGGUAAUAUUGAGAAAAUGAAACGUUGGUUUGAGUUACUUACAGUGUCAUCAGGAACUUCGUAUUCGGAGUCAAUCAUGCCGCGGUAUGAAAGUGCCGAUCUGUAGAAUAGAUGCUCUUUCCAUUCUGCCCACCAUAACUUGUAUGCCUGAGUGAUAAAAGCAGCCGGAACCCAUUCUGACAGAUCUACAUCUAUAUCGGCGUUUGGUGGUAGUUGGGCUGCUCGAGUCCACUCAAGAAGGUUGUUGAUAGUUUCUCUGGGUUUUAUCACAUCGGCAUAAGGAAGUGCAAUCGGCAACUGGCCGAAAGCUAACUGGCGAGCUAAUGCCGAUGGAUUGUAAAAUUCGUAAGUUUGAGGGGAGGUUUUUGUGCUACCAAAGAAAUUCACUGGAAUGAUUCUGGGAGUCACAAUUGCCAUCAUCGCCUCAUUGUCCCUGUCGAGAGCUUCAUCAAAUGGAUUGAAGGUCAGAGGGAGCAUGCUAUCUGGGUCAUCAUAAGCCAACCAUGGUCGUUCGUCUCUGGUCAAACCCUCAUACAGAGUCUGGAAGAAUCGGCCGAUCUGAUCUGGAUUACCUCCUGAACCAGGCAGAACUAUGACAGCUUCGCCAAAGUUCAAGGGGGCGCGUGUUGCCGAUUCCUCUUCACCCAAUACAUGGUUUUCAGCUAUAUCUCUUGGGAAACGCUGUGUGAACAGGUUGAAGUUGAGACGCUUGUGCAGAUGCAGAUUGAGCCACAUGUUGACAAACCACCAGGGGCCUCCCAAGUUGCCAGUGGAUCGGCCGAGCAGAAGUUUCUGGGCUACUUGAUGGAGAAGGUGGUAAGCAGCGCCAAGCAAGUAUCGGCCAAGAGGGAAUCGGCCACCGUUAGCCAGUCUUUCUGCUGCCGAUAGGUAGACAGAAGUCGGUCCUGCCGAUCGACCACAGAAUACAAACUUGUCCAGCCACAUGUUCAGAAAGGUGGUUUGUUCCUUUAUGGUGACAGAUCCUUUCCCACGGUACUUCUGAAUGUACCCCGACCAACCGCCGAUAGCGCGAGUCUCCACUUUGGCACUAGGGGCAGUAUCAAAAAAGUGGGUGCUAUCGGCAGAAGAUAUAUCUAGACCAGUAAGCAUGGCUACAUCGGGAAGAGUAGGAGAAGCAGGGCCGUGGCCAAAGGCAAAAGCAUUGAGGGUGUCUGACCAAAAGUAGGAUGCAGCUAUCAGCAGUGACUCGUUCCUAUGCAUAUCGGCAAUGGACAAUCUAAUGCAUUGGGCUAGAUUCCUUUCACCCCACUGAACUUCAUUAGAGUUGCUGACCCUCAAGAACCAGUCUUUCCACCCUACAGUUGGGCUGGGCCAAGAGCGGAAGGUGUCCUUCCACAGAUCUAAGGAAAAAUUUUCGGCUCUGAAGGGGAUCCUGUUGGUUUCUGUGUUGAUAAGGUCAGUUGGAUCUGGGUCCCCUAGAGGGCCGAGGCAUUGAAGGUGUGGUUGAUCGGUGGGGAUGACAAUUUUGUUGGACAAUUCCUAGUGAUUUUGGGCGUAAAAAGAAAUAGAAAGAGGAAAGAAAAGGAAGAUGUUCAGUAAAAUGAAUUGCGAGUGAACAGGGAUAUGAAGAAAAAUACAGAAGACGGGGUGGAGAUUUGACCUCAGGGACGACGAACCCGACGGCCAUCUUGCUGCGAAGGAAGCGUUUGAAGGCGCCGGAGUUGGUGAAGAGGGGUACUUGUCGGAGACCUUGGGAGUUUUUGGUGGCGCCGCCGCUGGAAAAGUAAAGUUGGGUAGUAGAAUGGUGUGAUGGGGAAGGAGUACCCAAGAAGGAACUAUUUAUAGGACAAAAUGGGCAAGGGCAAAUCCAACUUAUCUCUUUGCCGCAUCCGAGAAAUCCGAGGGUACUCAGGUGGAUAUGGUAACUGUUCGCACGGUAAUCCAGGGAUUGUGCAGGUGAUUUGACGGGAAGCGGUCAUUAUCUGAAGAUAUUUUACUGUGCGAGAUCUCCUGGUCGGUCCAUCGGCAAUAUUCUAUAACGGUCAUAUUGCCGAUGGGCGGAUAGAGGGGAAGUAACCGUUUGUGCAAAUAUCCUGGUCAGAACAUCGGCAGAUCUUUGUAACGGUAUUGUUGCCGAUGUACGGCUGAGAAAAAUGCCCGUUUAGGAAGUUGGGGAUUCCGAAAAAUCUGCGGAGGAAUAGGAUCAGAGUUGUUCAGAUUGAGGUUGUCGGUUACCAGAUUAGGAGCAUUAAUUGCGGGAAAAGGCAUCAUUACUGCAGAGAAUUUCGGAGCAUUAACAGUUUUAUACUCCGAAACUGGGGGGCAUGUGUUGACACCGUUUUUGGGCACGUGUCUAGGAUGGCAGGAUAAGGUGGCAGUACGAUGUUUACAAAGUGGGUUGCCGAUGAGGAUGGUUGCCGAUGAGGGAGAAGUUGAACGUGACUAAGUCCACAGGCAGUAAUAUGGUGCUGAUGGCUAGAUAAGAAAGUCUGCCGAUGACUAUGGCAAAGGGUCUGCCGAUGAUGCAAAGAGGGAGUCCGGAAGCUGCCGGUCGUUAUGUGGAGGAGUUUCGGUUUGUCACGAGGGAUAGUUUUGUUAUUUCCUUAAUUAUUUGCAUCGUUUUGUAUACGGAUUCCGUGUAAUUUGGAAUUCGAAUUCUAAUCGUGUCUGGUUGUAGCUCUUUGAGCAGGGUAUAAAUAUAGACCCUAGGGCCUUGUAAUAAAAAAUCAAUCAAUCAAUGAAUCAAACACACGUUUUUACUCAUAUUCCAGCAUUUACUUUUCGACGACUUCGUCAUACUUUUUCCUUUUGUUACGAGUUCUUAGGAAUUCGUCGACUUAAGCUCGGCGUGUUCUCAAGUUCCGCGUGAGUACCUCUUAGCCGUGACAUCCGGGUGCAUCGCUGUUGUCAGGACUAAAGUAUUCGAGUUAUCACCUUUGCCGAUAGCAAGGUCAAAUCGGCUGGCACGCCUUAACGUUUGAAUCGGGUAUUAGCCCUUUGUGUUUGCAGAUCAGUUUUGCAUCAACAGCUAGACUUUAUAGUUAAGAAUAACAUAGGAAAUAUUCUUGUAGUUCGUCCUAAUUCCAUGCUAAUGACUUGCUAGAAUAUCUAUUGAGGUGCUUAUCAUAUUUAUAUGUGGCUAAGUUAUGCUGAUCAGAUUAAUUAUCUUUGUCACCAUUCAUACUUUAUCUAUCCUUUAUGUGACACUUAUCCCUGUAUGAAAGAGAUAGAUAAAUGCUCUCAAUUAUACAUGCAAUGAUAGAUACUCAAUUCUCUAUCCCAUUCUAUAAUCAACAUUGAUGUUUAGCAAUCCCUGUUGGGUAUUUUAAACGCAAACAGAAAAAUCCGCAAGCGCACGGAUACCGAUGUAGCUUUCACCCGGGAGUAUUCCAGAGUAUCGAUUUUCCACAGAGAACGUGAGUGUACUAAUUAAGAUCCAAGAUCGCCCAAGGAUAACUAUAUGAUUAUUUUUGGUGGGAUGAGAGGAAGUUUCUAGAGAGUUCUCUAGUUGAUCUAAGAAUCAAGAAUUACUUCAAGAUUAUUUAUUUCGGGACAUCAGAACACUAACCACAGAAAGAGAUGAGAAGGGGGCUAGGAAGGUGUGACUACGGUCCUACAAACACCAAUCCGAACGUGGUGGAAUACGUCGACCGUUAGGGCUGUCACUACCCUAGGGCUACCACAACAAUCCGUAGGAUAGGGUGCAAUUCCAGGUAAUUGCAAGACUAAACACCACGUCUAAUCUAAUAAUUACUACUCUAGCGUUAUAAAGACUAGAGCACUUGAUGCAAGCGGGAAUCCAAUAAAUAACUUGAAUGUAAAUAAAAGUAAUUAGAGAACUCAGUAAACCCGACGUGUGGGCCUUUCUUCCAUAUUUCCUGAUAACCCCCUGCAGAAAUAGACAAACACCAAAACUUGUGGAAUUCUAUCAGAUAAAACCCUAAGUCUAGGUGUUGGUUGCAUUUGGAUUCUUUUUCAUGAUUAGUUGAUGAUUAAAUGUGAGCAUUAAGGACCGUCAACAAGCUCCCCCAAGCUUAAUCUUUGCUCGUCCCUGAGCAAAGAUGAACUCAAGAGUUUCUGCAGUGGUUUCAUAACUUAAAGAUACAUAUGCGUUUAAACAAGAUCUCAUCUCUGGUUAGAGUAAACUGUUAAGACUUAAAACUUACUCAUUUACCUUUCACCAUGGGACUUGUAACCGUCACUUCUGUCUUGAGUAGUUAAAAGAUAGAACAGUCUAGUCAAGCACCAUGUCUCUUGUUCUUCGAUUAACUAUAGCUCUGGAGUUUUUGCAGAUUUUCAAAUAAAACUCAGAGAUUCCUUGUAUGACUCUCUCUAGUCUCUCUUUUGUGGUAUUUCUGGAUCCUUACCAAGGCAUUAAUGGUGUAUGCCUUAUCUCAAAGUAUGUGGUAUUUGUGGUAUAAGGCAUAGUGGCAUUGCCUUCUCUCUCACCCUAUUCUAAUAAGGCUUUUGAUAUCUGGAGCUCAUAGGUAGGAGACAGCUAAUACAUACUUACAAGACAUUUAUUGCAUAGUCAAACCAUGGAUCCAGAAGAACAAGUCAAUAAGUCAAAUCAAGAUGUGCAUGUGUGGCGAAUGAAUGGUGCAUGGUAAUGAUGGUGAUAACAAUGGUGAAACUCUAAUUCUACUUGUGCUCUUUUGAGGGGAUACAUACCUUUCUUGCUCUUUUGAAACUUUUUGAGGAGAAUGAGAUGCUCUAUAUAUUUUUUUUCUUUUUCUUCUCUCAGGUGGGUAUCUUGUACCCGUAAUUCUACUGUCGGACACUUGUCCAUUUUACCUCUCGUCUCACUUUUUUUUCUUUCAAGGUUCCGGGCACUUGCCCCUUUUUAUUUCCUCGUAUUUUUUUUCUCUCUUUUUUUUAUAUUAGAGCACACAUCUCCUGAAAUAAUAUAGCAAGUGGUAGUAACCAAGAUAACUUGAGCAUUUAUUUCACAGGGGAAAAACAGAAAUGUUUUUGGCUAUUCUCUCCCGGAUUAGGAAUAGAAUAUUUUUGGGUGGUUCUGGAGAUGGAAAUGGGUGGAUAUAUGUGGAUGCGCACUUCCGGAGUAGAAGCAGCAUGUAUGAGUGAACGUGCAAGUGAAUCUUGACUUAACCACAUGACAAGCUCCUAAGGGUCUACAGCUUGACCACACUCAAUGCUCAUAGGCAGUAAAAAGUAAAUGUGUGGCUCAAAGUCUAGCAAGCAUGUAUAUAUGGCUAUGGUAGGAAUUUAAACUCUCAUCAUACAGGAACUCAUCAUGCAACAUUUUAAAGAUUUUCAAAAAUAAAAUUCUCCAGAAUUCUAGCAUCUCUAGGAACAGAUAAACAAAAGCUCAACCUUCCCAUAUCAUAUCCGUUAACGACUUAGACUUCAGAUCAAGUACUCUUCCCACAAGUUUAGGUUUAGAGCAAAUCUUAAUUAAUAACAGUCAUGCCUAAACUUGAGAGAGAUUUCAAUUUUGAGAACUAGUCAUGGCAGAGCAACUAUUCAUCAUUUCCAUAUGAGAGCUUAUCAUGAUGGUUCAUAGCAGACUUUAUUUAUUUAUUUAUUUAGCAAACUAAGCAAAGAUAUAUAUAAGCACAAAAUCUUUAUUUGGGUUUCUAUGAUUAUGCAUCUUUUUAUUAUUAGAGUAAAGUAUAAACGCGAGUAGAAACACUUAGCUGGAUAAAUGGGGGUGCUCUCCCCCAAGCUGGAUUUUGACGAAGUUUCUUCUGAUGUAGCUAGCAGGUGGCGGAGGUGUAUUUGAAUGUCUGCAGCACUCUGACAGCGAGUAGGAUGUCCUCCGUCUGCUAGUCUUCUUUGAUCCUUGAAUUCUGUGGAGCUCAAAUAGACAACAAAGCUUUGUGGAACUAGUUAAGUGUUAGCAUAAAUAUCUAGCCUUUAUCGUGUUGAGCCUCCUCAAUAAAUGUUACUCUUUUUAGUACGAUCAUAAAUUUAUUUCUAUAAUUUUAUUUUUAUAGGACAGGAAUAUAUAUAUAUUAUUUUUUAUGGCACCACAGUGAAUGUACUUAUGGGUUUUAUGCCAUGAGCAUACUCACAUGGGGCUUACUAUUUUUAACAUUUUUAUUUUCUUUUCAAGAUGAUAUGAACCUGAUUAACUAAGCAAACUAUUUUAAAUAAUUGAAAGGAAAAAGAUAACUACCAAGUUUACCUCUUGGCAAGGUGUUCGGUGUCUUUAAGUCCUCCGAACAGGAUUCUCCGUUUUCUCAAUCAUCCUGGAAUUCGCUGGAUGGCGUAGUCGGUGGUUCCGGCGGUGCGUACUCUUCAUGUAUAACUAUCUUCUUUCUCCACACCUGCCUUGGUGCUACGGUCUCCUCAGGACAGUUCUGUUCAAGUUGUAUGUCUUCAGACCUUACAACUUCUCCUUCAUAGUCUACCCAUCCGUCCUUGAUGAUUUGCCUCCUCUGGUUGCGGUUGCAUCGUCGUCUUCUUGUCCUGACCUGCUUAGAGUCUUCAACUAUAUAGUUAGGGUCAGUAAAACAGUGGCGUACCUUCUCUGAGGGGAAGUGCAUGUGGACUUCUCUGGUUCCAAUGUACAUGAUUGCUUUAAUGGUGCUAAAGAACGGUCUUCCAAGGAUGAUGGGUGGAUCGUACUCGUCUUCUCCCAUGUCAAUAACCUUCAAUCUUUCAGAAUGUCUGAUCUGCCAUCUGGAGCUGAAUGUAUGUUGGUUGUAGGGACAUGGUUCCAUGCAGGAGCUGAUAAGUGACUGCGGCCAUUAUGUUGACGUUAGAUCCGGUGUCGUAGAGUGUCUUCUGAAAAGAAUAUUCGUUGAUUGUGCACUCGAUGCUUGGGACACCAGGGUCGUCCUUCUCGAUCAAGAAAGGUGACUUGAGUUGACCAUCUUGACCUCCUUGAGCUGCAGUGACCAUCUUAGCUGACUCGGUACACAUUUGCUUGUUCUUGUUCCUCCUGUUGGUCCUCUUCCUUGGUUCAUGUCGGGAUUGCUCUGGGAUUUCUGUAGUCUUGUUUCUUGAAGGAAAACGUCUCCUUCUUCCCCUUGAUGUAGAAACUGAUCUUGGCAGCACUAGCGUAGAUGACAGCUCCCGAGGUGUUCAGGAAUGGCCUCCCUAGGAUGAUGGGUGCCCUCUCAUCAGUUUCAAUCUCUAUCACCACGAAGUCUGCUGGAGCGUAUAAGGUACCAACUCGGACAUAGAGGUUCUUCAAUAUUCCCUUUGGGAAGCUUAGCGU